GUGGUAUCAAAGGUAUGCUGACUCUAGGUCGUUAGACUAGUUAGAAAUAGAAAGCCUAGUCUAUUAAAAAUAUAGUUAUUUUGCUCUUACAAAUUAUUUUAUUAAUCUUGCCUCCUUAAAAUUCAACUAAGUUGACAUUUUCUCUUGUAGAUGGUGCAUACUAUCCAGAUCACCCGUGUGAACACCAACUAUAUCCCUCUGCCACAACAAGUUCCUGUCUAUUUAGUGGUAGUAGAGGAAGUCCCUGUGGAUCUUCACCACCUUCGUGUGGAGAAUGAAGUGAUUCUAGAGGACAGCUCAGAGGAGAUUUUGGAAGCGCCCACCAUGUUGUCAGAGUCACAAACCUUUGCAGCUGGAGCUUCAUCUUCAGUAUCGCCAGCACCAGUAGCUCAAGCUCCGGCUCCUGGAGGCGAGAAUCCAGAUGAUUUUGGUGAUGGUGGAGAAGAUGAAGAAGAAGAAGAAGAAAAUAACAACGAAGAAGCCAACGAUGAGCAGGAGGACAACUUUGUUGGGAUAUGGCCUAUCACUAAGCAUUACACUUCAAUGUUCGAGACGAGACACUUCCCAAACCUGCUACAGGAUCUACUGCAUGCGCUAGGAACCUACGUCCGACCUCUAUAUGACACAAGGCGAGUGUCUGAGCCUCCUCGGGCUUGCUACUACAUCACUCGUGUGCAUAUUAGGGUGAUGGAUGCAGGAGAUAGAUGUUUCAGGACUCUAUCAGCCCAUGAGUCUCUAACGCCACUAUCUACCUACGCUACUUCGGUCAGCAAUGUUGCUAGCAGAGCUCUGUGGUCUCUUAGCCACACUUAUCGGCAGCAGCUGCACGACAAGAGGUACAGACAUCUUCCUCUAUGUCUUCGUGGAGAAAGCCAGACCAGUGUUGUUCCAGGUGAAGCUGGAGAAGAUUGCCUCAACUCCCUUGUAGGUGUUGUGGCAGGUCUUAACACUGACCUGGACAGCACUACCCUGGAUUUCUCAAGGGAUCCAUGGAGAACAUGAAGAAGCACAUGCCAGGAUUGCAGCCCUCGAAGCUCAGCUCGAAGGAAGUAAUUCACCCGAAGCCCAAGUCUUUGUCAUAGCUGUGUCCCCGCCCCGCAAGAGGAUUCGCUAUGGAGUCCCAGGAUCUAUCACCAGGCUACUCUAGAUUUAUAAGCCAUGUUGUAAUAAUGAAACUUAAGAAAAAGGAAUUCGUAUCCCUCACUCGAGGAGGCAUGUCUGUCAGCGAAUACCGAGAUCAUUUCACCCAACUUUCUCACUAUGCACCAGAGGAAGUUGACACAGAUGAGAAGCGCCAAGAGCAAUUCUUAAAAGGUUUGAUCAUACCAUUGAACUAUCAGUUACAAAGUUAGAGUUUCCCCAAUUUCCAGACUCUACUCAAUAAGGCAAUUUGCCUAGAAAGCAAAAGAAGAGAAUUAUCUGAUCACAAGAGAAAAUUCCAAGGACAGUCUAGCAAAAACACCCAACAAAACAACUCUCAAGGUUCUUAGUUUCGCUUAGGAAAUCAGAGUGGAAAUAAUAACUAUCAAGUGCAAUGCUCUGGACAGCAGGGACAGAGAAACAACCAAUACCAAAAACAACAGAGGAACAACUCUCAGACCGGUCAAAGGUCUAGUGGUUACCAACAAAAUCGUCAAGGAAGCGUCAUGAACACACCGGCCAGAAAUAACAAUACAACUACUCCAGUCCAACCUAGUGGAUGUUUCAAAUGUGGUGAACUUGGUUAUUAUGCCAACAAUUGCCCUAAGCACAACCCACAUACACCCCAGAGCAACAACAGUCAAAGAGUUGAUCAAAAUACACAUGCUCAUGGUACUGCACAGAACAAGACUCCGCAGAACCAGAGUAAGGGAAGAAUUAAUCAUGUGACAGCAGAAACAGUUCCUGAGGAUGCCGACGUGGUGUAUGGUAUGUUCCUUAUUAACUCCAUACCCACAUCAGUUUUAUUUGAUUCUGGAUCAUCUCACUCCUUCGUAAUAAAGUCAUUUGUGGAAAAGCAUAAAAUAUCAAACUAUCCUUUGAAGAGGAAACUACUAAUUAGAUCACUAAGAGGUGAACUUAAAGCCACUCACUCAUGCCCUCAGACUAAGCUUGAGAUUAGAGGAAUAAGCUUUCUAGUAGAGCUGAUAAUCUUGGAAUCGAGUGGAAUCGAUGUGAUACUUGGAAUAGACUACUUAACCAAGUAUCAUGGAGUAAUAUCUUGUGCUAAGAGGACGGUUACAUUAACCAGUCCGCAUGGAGAAAGAAUUGAAGUCAAUGUUAGUAUGUCCACAGAAGCAGAAGCCAUGGUAAAUCAAUUGGAGGAGAAAUCUUUGGAACACAUCAGAAUAGUGUGUGAAUACCUAGACGUAUUCACGGAGGAAUUACCAGGUAUGCCACUUGAUCGUGAUAUAGAGUUUUCUAUUGAAUUAUUAGCCAGAACUGCACCUAUUUCAAAAAUACCUUAUAGAAUGGAUGUCAAUGAUCUAGUCUAACUGAAGAAACAAAUAGAAUAAUUACUAGAAAAAUGUUUUAUUCGCCUAAGUUUGUCUCCUUGGGGAGCCCCAGUUCUAUUUGUGAAUAAGAAAGAUGGUUUGAGAAGAAUGUGUUGAUAGGAUCACGAUGCCCAACAGGGGGUGAAUUGGGCUUCUCUAAAAUUUCACAAAUUUAAACCUAAGCAAGAGCCCAACUUCACCCAACUACUAGCAAUAAAUAAAUACUACUAGAAAAACAACAACCCUAAGUCAUUGCUUCAAAUACUUGCUAAGCAAUGGAACAAAGUGAAAUGCUCAAAGUAAAUGUGAAAUGUAAAGCAAGGGUAAGAAGACUCGUCCAAUUUUUUACCGAGGUAUCGAAGAGUCGGCACUCUUCCACAGUGCACCGGACAAUGAAGAGUGAUUGUCCGGUGCACACCGAACAGUAUGGUGUGAUCGCUAAAAUUCAUCUUCGCGAACUCGUCGCUCUCGGGUUUCUCGGGGGCAGAGGCGCUGCCUGGCCCCACAGUUAGAGGGUGCACCGGACAGUCCGGUGCCCCUAAGAUAGCAAACCCAAAUUCUAUUCCUUAGGUUUUUCUAAACCGUUUUCGUUCUAACUUGUGAGUGUGUUAUAGAGUGACACCUAGCACUAGAUGUGAGUGUGAAUAUGCACCAACACUACACUAGAAAUAUCUUGGUCAAACUACUCAUCGACAACCCCUCUUUAUAGUAAGGCUAAAAUAAAAAUAGAAGACCUAAUUCUAUACCAAGUGUCCACAACUCCUUUGACAAUCAGAAUAUGAAGACAUUCAUCUUUUGAUUCGCCUUUUUCGGUCGUCGCUUCAAGUUCUCAUCAGAGGGAAUGUUUUCACCGUUGCAACGCAACUUCCUAUAAUGCGACCUAACUUACCAUUCGAUCUACAAAACACACGUUAGUCACAUAUAAUCUUAUGUUGUCAUUAAUCACUAAAACCAACCAGGGGCCUAGAUGCUUUCAAUCUCCCCCUUUUUAGUGAUUGAUGACAACCCUACAAGAGUGUGAGAGUAGUUUGUUCGUUUUUUCUGUCAAUAGAGAAGAUGGUUAGUGAUACUCAUCAAAUUUCACAGAAAAAAUCGUGCAAUAUAAUAGUAAGUAUAAGCGCAUACACAACAUAAGUUUCUUGUUCAUACAAGUAUGAAAUGAAAUCCAUGAACAAGAACAGAACGACUGGUGACAACAUCAUAGGUGAAAACAUAAUACACACACAAUCAUUAACAAACAUCGAGAGCAUAUCACAAAGUUUGUGAAUUAAACAUCAUACAAAAGUGGAGCUAGUACAGAGAGUAUCAUGCAUAUAGAUUACACCAAAAGAUCAAGAGCUCUCUCAAAUAACUCCCUAACUCCCCUAGCUCUCACAACUCACAUCUCUCCCCCUUUAGCGUCAAACACCAAAAGGAUAACCCAAACCUACAUCCUAGAAGAAGGAGGAGGAGGUGAAGGCGCAUCAGGUCGCGGUCGAGGCAGAAGAGCAAACACGAGCUGAGUAUCUGAGUCAGUCUCGGAUCAAGGAUCUAUAGUAGAGGCUAGAGCUGGUGCUGACUCUGACGCUAGCUGCGGUGCAGGAUCUACCGGAGCUGGAGCAGUCACAGAAACAACCACGCCAGCAGUGGUAAUAGCAGACGCUGGUGGCACUGGUGGCUGAGCGGUGACAGGUCCGACGACCUGGGUCGAGAAGUCCAGAGUGACUGGCCUGAGCGGAGAGAUGGACGGACCAAAAAAGUGGAGCUGGGGUCCGGACUAAAUGGCUGGCACAACUGCAGCCUGAAGAGCUGGAGGAGGAGCAGACUACACUGGAGAGAUCGGAACACCAGUGUGCUGGAGAAUAUGAGUCAUGAACACUCGGUGCUCUACCCUGUCUGCUAGAAGUUGUUGCUGUAGAGUGUCCAGGUGGUCCUGAAUAGUCUGGAACAUCGAUAGCAUCCGCUCAGACAACUACUACUGAAUAGCUGCCUGCCUGGCCUGCUCUGCGGCCAAAUGAACCUGCUGCUGAGUGAGUGACUAGAGAAUGGCAGCUAGAGCGGGGUCAAUCGCUGGAGUUGCAGCACUGGAGCUACUAGCCUCGUGAUCACGGGAACGAGGUGGCAUAGGAGGUGGCGAUGGAAUCCCUAGAUCCUCAUCAUCAUCGGAAGAAGUAUGAGCAACCGCACCCUGAUCCUCAAACUGUCUGAUGGCCUCAUCCUCAACCCUGAUAUCUGAUGCUGGAGCUAGAGCUAAAGUUGUGACCUCAGGAGCUAGGCGAUAGAAGCCGAACUGCAGUCUAGAGACCUCGAGUGUGUCCUGGAACCGAGGAGGCCGAAUCAGUUGAGCAAAUAUGGGUCAGAGAUAGCGAGCGUAAGGCAGCUGACGCUGAGCCUGAAGACCAUCCAAAAUUGUGUCCUCAAUCUCAUAAAUCAGAAAAUCGACCACGUCAAACUCAGAGUGUGAGAUCAAGGCACCGAGUAGCCAAAGCUUGAUGAGUGGUGGAAUCUCUGUAUCCCAUCCUAGGUAGCAAGGUACGCCUCAUGAGCUCAUAUAGGAACUUUGUUGCUGGAGUGAAAUCUGCUAGAGAACGUCGCGACCCAUCUAUGAAUGGAGGUCGACACAGGGUGGCGACGUGAGCAGUGGUAGGGGCAACUUCGCCGUGAGGGCGACGAGGAGGAUCUGAUGUGCCUUAGCACAAGUUGUGGAGCCUUGUUGAUGACUUAGGAAAUCCAAACAGCUCUCAAAUCUGAGUAGAAUGAAAGGUCUCAUCCUCUCACUCAAACCUAAACCUCAUCCACUGAUUAUCUGGGUCUAUCCAUACUGUGGCAUAGAAGACUCUGACCCACUCCUCAAUAUAUCUACCGCUGAAGGUCAGAAGAGAGUGUAAACCUGGCAGAUAUGUGAUGUGACCCUCUGACACUACACCGGCUACUGAAAGUAAGGCAGGGAGAUCCAAAUGCUAGUGUGCUCUCAAGGCAAUCUGAGCAGACAAUUGUGCCCUAAAGAAGGACUCCUGGGUCCUGGUGCUGAGGAGUGGCGCAUCUGUUGGGUCCCUCUGAGCUGGCAAACAAGAAUCCAUAGGUACAUGUCUGAACCGACGUACCCGGGCAGCUAUGGCUCGCUGAAGAUCAAGCAGGCGAGUAUCAGCAGCAAGAGAUCACACCUCAGUCUCGUCACGCUCCUAGAAGCGAGAUGGAGGAAUAAGUGGAGUGGAAGUGGGAGCGGGAGCAGUGGAAGCUGGAGUGGUGGAGGUGGUGGAAGCAGCGGGAGUAGUGGACGACUUGAGAGUGACAGGAGCUCGCGAAGUGGGAGGUGGAGUGGAGACUGGGUCGGAAGGAGUGGAGCGAGCAGUGGAGGAGCGAGUCCGAGACUCGAGGCAACGGACUCGGAAGGCGAUCUAAUCAGAAGAAAUAUGUAACUGGCCUCCCUGCUCUGCCUGAUUUGUUGGUGCUGCUACUGCAAGCGUUGCACGAGCGGCUCUGUCCAGAUGCCUCUUCUUUCUGCCCUCUUGCUGCUCAAGGUAGACAGUCCUGCCCAUGACCUGUCUGAAGGGCGAGGAGGGUCUCCUCGUCAUCUCCUCCCCCUGAUGGUGUGAUAUUCUUCAUCCUCACCAUCCCGAUCUAACUGCUGCAAGAUAAGGAGAAAAGAUAAGCGAGAGUAGAGAGCAGUAGGUAAGGCCUGAAUAGAGUGUGAUAGCUACCUAGGAACUUCUCGAGAAAGAGGAACCAGGCAGGACAGGAGUCGCGUAGGCGAGUAGGUGAAAGCACUGAAAUGACAAAAGAGGUGAGCAUAUAUUAGUCACAUAGUCAUAGGUAUAUGAAAUAUGAAUAAAUACAUGCACAGAGAGUUAUGACACAAAAAUGGAGUGAUUUGGAGAAAUAGAGGUCAAACGGCGCGAGAACGGCGUUUGAACGGUGAAUUGGGCCAUAGAGGGUUUGAAAUUCGAAAUGAGGCAUGAAAUGACUUGGAAUUGAGUCGAUACUUCAAGGAUAGGUAUAUAAGUAUGAAAAUGAGUGAAGUGAGUGCUUGGUUUAAAGUUUGGCAGAGGAAAAACAUUUUUGGCACUCAGCUCGAAACAGAUCACUAUAAAGGUGAAGAGGUAGUGAAACAUGUGUCUAGAAUAUCGGAUAGGCAUGAAGUUUGGCGUGAGAGGUACUGGUUGUAGCUGGAGUGUGCUGGAAAAAGUUGGGGUCGAUUUGAGCUAUUUUGACUGGUUUGGGCAUUUCACUGAGCACUUGGUGCGCGGAGUUUUGAAUAGGUGGAGAAAUGCCCAUUUGAGGGUUGGAAACCUCCCAACGGGAGAGGAUAACCUGCAGGGAAGUUCUAGGAAUACAUGAGGACAUUCACUCACACAUGGAUUCAUGAAUUUCACAGAGAUUUGAAGAUUUUGCAAAAGGGUGGGAGUGAGAGAGGCAGAGAGCUUCACUGCAGAGAUCAGUCAGAGAGAGAGAGGAGAGGGGAUCUGCUCACCAGGGGAAGGGAGAAAUUAAGCCCGAGAGGGGGUAGCUCGACAGAGCUUGACGGCGGUGAUGGCCGACGGGAGAGCCCAGGGCGGCGCCAAGAGAGCCAGAGAAAGAGGAAGAGACCGCGCGGGGAAAUAAUGCCUGGGCUCGACCUCGAGCGGAGAAAGUUUUUUUAAAAACGCACCAUGGGCACAUCGGACAGUGUACAACGCCUAUCCGGUGAACCACCGGACAGGGCAGCAUAGUGGCAGAUCCACGCGCGCCCAGCCGAUGCACCGGACAUUGCACAAUGCAGUGUCCAGUGCACACCGGACUAUCUGGUGAGCCCAGACAGAGAGAAUUUUGAAUUUUCUAGGAAAUUUUGAACUAAACCAAAUCCUAACUUAUAAGCACACAAAAGAACACCUGUUGGGACAGGUAUUGGUACCCUCACAUAUUCUCUCAUAUUUUUCCAAAAUAUUGUGCCAUAGGCUAGAUAGUUUUUUAGAGAAAAUAGGGAAAUGGUAAGCUUUUGCCUUUGGGUAUUGCACUAGAGGUUUCAUGUAUGAAUUGAGUUAUGAAUACUCCCCCUAAGUGCAAUACCACAUGCAUAUCUCAAAAACCAAUAAUUGAAUUGUAAAUGAAAUUUAAGUACCAAAAUCUUAAAAGCUAGAACUUGUUAGGUUUGAGCCCGAGUUAAGCUUUUUCACUCGCUUUGUUGGCGGUUAUCUCAACUAGGUUAGACAAGCCCUUGAUGCAAUACAAGAAAUUUAAAUAUGCAAUGCAAGCUUGACAUCACCAUUUUAUGAUUUAAGAAAAAUUUCUGAGAUGAAGAAUAUUUAGCUCAUUCCUCAACAUACAAAAGCGGGUUUUGUCUAAAGGCUUUAUGAAAAUAUCCGCUAAUUGAUCUGCCGAUCUCACUCCUUCUAAGAUUAUAUCUCCUUUAACAACAUGAUCUCAAAGGAAGUGAUGAUGAUUAUCAAUGUGCUUGGUGCGAAAGUGUUGUACAAGAUUAUUAGCAAUUUUAACAACACUCUCAUUAUCCAACAACAAAGGUACCUUUUCUAGAACUACACCAUAGUCUAGAAGAGUUUGUUUCAUAUAAAGAAUUUGUGUGCAACAAGCACCCGUGGCAAUGUAUUCACUUCGGCGGUUGAUAAGGCAGCACUGUUUUGCUUUUUAAAGGUCCAUGAAACUAGUGAUCUCCCAAGCAAAUGGCAUCCUCCGAAUGUACUUUUCCUAUCAAUUUUGCAACCAGCGUAAUCAGAAUCGGAAUAGCCAAUUAAAUCAAAAGUAGCUCCUUUAGGAUACCAAAUACCAAUGCUUGGGGUGUGCUUAAGAUACCUAAGAAUUCUUUUAACAGCGCGAAAAUGAGCUUUCUUAGGAUUUGCUUGAAAUCGAGCACACAUAUAGACACUAAACAUGAUAUCAGGCCUAGAUGCAGUAAGAUACAAUAAACUACCAAUCAUAGAACGGUAGAGAGUUUGAUCAACCUGGUUACCUCCCUCAUCUAGGUCGAGAUGUUCAUUAGUAGGCAUGGGUGUCUUGAUUGGUUUGCACUUCUCCAUUUUGAAUCUCUUCAACAAGUAUUUGGUGUACUUCUCUGGUGAGAGGAAGUUCACAUCUUUCAUUUGCUUGACUUGGAAGCUGAGGAAGAAGGUUAGCUCACCAAUCAUUGACAUCUUGAACUCCUUCAACAUCAACUCACCAAAUUCCUUGCAAUGACAAUCAUUUGUCGAGCCAAAGAUUAUAUCAUCAACAUAAACUUGAUAAAUGAAAAUAUCACUGUUAUGAUUCUUUGUGAAUAGAGUGGUGUCGACGGUCCCGAUCUUGAAGCCCUUCUCAAUGAGGAAGUCGCAAAGACACUCAUACCAAGCCCUUGGAGCUUGCUUUAGACCAUAUAGCGUCUUGGACAACCUGUAAGCAUGAUUAGGAUAUCUAGGGUCUUCAAACCCAGGUGGUUGCACAACAUAUACUAGUUCAUUUAUGAAGCCAUUUAAAAAUGCACUUUUUACAUCUGUUUGGUAAAGUUUUAUGUCAUAGCAGGAUGCAUAUGCAAGAAGGAUAGGAUGGCUUCAAGUCGAGCAACCAGUGCAAAGGUCUCUCCAAAAUAUAAACCUUCAACUUGAGAGAACCCCUUUGCAACAAGCCUUGCCUUGUUCCACACAAUUACACUUUGAUCAUCUUGUUUGUUUCGGAACACCCACUUUGUUCCAAUGACUCUUGCAUCUUGUGGAGGCUUCUCCAGGGUCCAAACUUGAUUUUGGGUGAAGUUGUUUAAUUCUUCAUGCAUGGCAUUUAACCAGUCCGGAUCCUGUAGCGCCUCAUCUAUACAUGUAGGCUCAACAUAAGAAACAAAAGAUUGAUGCUCAAUAAACGAAGCAUAUAUCUGAGAACGAGUAAUAACCCCUUGUGAAGGACUCCCAAUGAUAAGAUCUUAUGGAUGUGCUUGUAGUAGUGAUGAGUUCCUCUUGUCAACUACUUGGGAAGAAGAUCUUGGAGCACCAACAUCUUCAGCUUGUACCCUUGCUUGUUCAUGAGAGACAAAUGUAUCUUCAUUUUCAUGCCUCUCAUAUUUUCAUCAUCAUGUGGUACAUUUGAUGAAGAAGGCAUGUCGAUAUUUUGCACUUCUUCAUCUUCUUUUGGUUUGAUGGCUCCAAUUGGCAUAUUCUUCAUGACUUCCCUAAGUGGUUCAUUACCUACAUCAUCAAGAUUUUCAAGGGCUCCUUGGGAGCCAUUAGUCUCAUCAAAUUCCACAUCAUAUGUUUCUUCCACCAUGCCAGUGGAAUGAUUAAAUACUCGAUAUGCUUUGGAUUUUGAUGAAUAACCAAGUAAGAAACCAAUGUCACAACGUCUUUGAAACUUCCCUAGGCGAUGGCAUUUCUUGUAGAUGUAGCAUUUGCAUCCAAACACCCAGAAGAAGGAGACAUCUGGCUUUUCCCAUUUAGCAGUUCAUAGGAAGUCUUCUCAAGUAGCUGGUGAGGAAAUAGUUUGUUUGAUGCAUAGCAUGCAGUGUUGACAGCUUCAGCCCAAAAUCUCUCCGGUGUGUUAUACUCAUCAAUCAUUGUCCUUGCAAGAGUGAUCAAAGUUCUGUUCUUUCUUUCGAUAACUCCAUUUUGUUGAGGUUUAUAUGUUGCAGAAACUUCAUGCUUGAUCCUAAUUUCAUCACAAUACUCAUGAAUAUUGGUGUUGUCAAAUUCCUUUCCAUUGUCACUCCUUAUUUUCUUGAUUUUGCAGUCAAAUUCAUUUUGAGCCUUCUUGGCAAAUUUCUUAAAUAUUGAUGCAACCUCAGACUUACCAUGAAAAAAGAACACCCAAGUAUAUCUUGAAAAAUCAUCAACAAUUACCAAACAAUAGAAAUUGCCACCGGCACUAGCAUAAGUUGUUGGUCCAAAUAGAACCAUAUGAAGUAACUCUAGUGGCCUUGAUGUUGACAUAAAAGCUUUUGUAGGAUGAGUGUUAGCAACUUGCUUUCCAGCCUGACAUGCACUACAAAGCUUGUCCUUUUCAAAUACAACAUCCUUCAAUCCUCCAACCAUGUCUUUCUUUAGAAUCUUCUUGAGUGUGCUCAUUCCAACAAGUGCAAGCCUUCUAUGCCAUAGCCAUCCAAGAGAUGUUUUGGUAAAGAGGCAAGUCCUUAGGUUUGCAUCUUCAGAAGAGAAAUCCACUAAGUAUAGGUUGUUGUAUCUAAAUCCUUCGAAUAUCACAGACUCAUCAUCCAUUUUAGACACAACGACCUCUGUAGGAGUGAAUAAGCACUGAAGGCCAAGAUCACAAAGUUGACCUACUGAUAGCAAGUUGAAGCUUAAUGGUGCAACCAAGAUAACAUUUGAAAUUGAAAGAUCAAUUGAAAUUGCCACCUUGCCAAGCCUUGAACUUUUCCUUUUGAAAUAUCCCCAAAAGUGAUUUUAUCUUGUUCAUCAACAUCUUCAUCUAGUGAGGUGAACAUCCGUGGGUUGCCAGUCAUAUGUUGAGUGCAUCCACUAUCAAUUACCCAAUGGCUCCCACCGGUCUUGUAGUUCACCUACAUGAACAAACAAAUCAAGCUUCAAUCUUGAGGCCCUAUUUUGCAUAGGACCAGUAACUUUCUCAAUCAAGGACUUUGCAACCCAAAUUUGUCUAGGUCUACUCUUGCUUGGUGGACCUAGAAAUAUUACUUUGACUUUUCCAUUUGCAACUUUUCUUAGUACAUAAUGAGCAUUGAAAGCAAAUGGUCUUGAGUGCUUUGGCAAGGGAGUUGGUGGUGUGGUUUCGCAAUUGUGGGCAAAAUGUCCUUUUCCACACUCAUAGCACUUGAUUGGCUCAGGAGUCUGUUUUGCCUUGUAUUGACUUGUUGCUUUCUUUUGCACAAAAGAAUUGUAUCCAAUACCACUCUUAUUAUUUUUCAUAACAGUGUUCAUGAGUAACUCAUUUUGAAGGUAUUGGCCUUUGUUGAACUUUUGUACACUUGUGGCAAGAUGUUCUUUCUCAAUCUUAAGUUUCUUGACUUCAUCUGUAAGCCUUACAUUGUCCACUGCCAACUCAUUAUUAAUAUCAUUGCUUUCUAUGGCAACUUUUCCUCUAGUGGUUGCAUCUAUCAAGUACUUCUUCAAUUUCUGGUUUUCUAGUGUCCUGACUUCAACUUUUUCAAUCAAUUCAUCAUGAUGAUCAACUUGGCUCAAAUCAUUACAUGAGGUUGCCACAUCAAUCUUAACAACAGGGUUAAUAGCCUCAUGUGUAUUACAAGAUAAAAGCUCAUUUGCAAUAAGAAGAUUAUCAUAUCAAUUUUAAUUUUGUAUAAUCUUCCUUUACUUUGACAAGUCUAUCUUUUAGCUCCCUAUUUGCUUCACUUAAUUUUUCACAUUUAUCUUUGGCAUCUUUAAGGGAGGUUUUGAGCUUAUUUUUGGUGGAUGACAUAGUUUUAUUUUCUUCCUUCAUUUCUUCACUAGCUUUAACAACUAUAUCAUACUUGGCAAUUAAGAACUCAUUUUCAUCCUUUAACUUGUCACAUUUAGCUUUUCACUUUCUAAUGAUUUGAGUAUAUUCUUUUAGUAAGUCAUCUAAUUCAUCAUAGGUAGGAGAAGCAUACUCGUCAUCACUAUCACUAUCACAAUCAUCAACAAUAUCAUUUUUAGGUUGUACCUUCCCUUCACCUUUAGCCAUGAGGCAUAGGUGUGAAGUGGAUGAAGGUGAUGGUGGUGGUGAAGAAAAAUCCCCAAUGAUGGCGACAACAUUUCAUCAUUUUCUUCUUCACUUGAAGAAGACCCACUUGAAGAUUCAAUAUCAGUGAGCUAGUCACCAACAAUAUAUGCUUUUCCAUUUUUCUUUUUAUGGAAUCUCUUGUGCUUGCCUUGCUAUUGAAGAAUUUCUUUUCCUUAUUCUCAUCAUCACUCUCAUCAUCUUUCUUGCCCUUGAACAUGUUCUUCUUGGGCUUGUUGCAUUGAUGAUCAAGUUCUCCACAAUUAUAGAAAUCCAUCUCGGAGAUGGGCUUUCUUUUGCUAGAGAAAAACUUCUUUCUUGAAUCAAACUUGAUACCUUCUCGAUUGAGUUUAUUCAACAUUUUUGUGGUCUUUCUCAUCAUCAAGGCAAUGUUUGCAUCAAGAUCAUCAUCACUUGAGGAUUCUUCCUCAACUUGCAUUUUGGCCUUCCCUUUCUUUUCUUGGCUAGCUUUGAGAGCCAAAUCUUUUCUCUUCGAAGAAGACCCAUCCAUGUCAUUUAUGUGCAUAUACAUUUCAUGAGCAUUGAUCUUUCCCAAUAUUUCAGUUGGUGUAGUAAUAGAAAGAUCCAUUUGAUGUAGCACAAUGACAAUGUGUCCAUAUUUGUCAAUUGGGAGGACACUGAGAAUUUUACUCACAACAUCUGGUUGUGAAAUUUGGGUGAGCCCCAAACCACUGACUUCCUCUACAAGAAUGUUAAGUCGUGAGUACAUAUCAUUAGCAUUCUCAUUUGCAAGCAUUUUAAAAGAAUUUAAUUUUUUCAUUGCAAUGUGAUAUCUUUCUUCACGCUCACUUUUAGUUCCUUCAUGUAGAGCACAAAUAUCCAACCACAAACCAUGAGCAUUUUUGUGAUUUCUUACUCUACUGAAAAUAUCUUUGCAAAGGCCCCUAAAGAGAGUGUUUUUGGCCUUAGCAUUCCAUUUUUCAUAAUUAUACUCAUCACCUACAAGAUUUGUGGGAUCUCUAGGUUCGGGGAACCCUUGAGAGGCGGCUUCACCAAUGUCAAUAGCCUCUAGAUAAGCUUCCAUACAAAUUUUCCAAUAAGGAAAAUCGUCACCAUCAAAAACAGGAGGAGGUCCUUCCCCACCAGACAUCGGUACUCUAGCGGUUAAGCUAAAUUAGGAGCAACUAGGCUCUCAUACCAAUCGAAAGGAUCACGAUGCCCAAGAGGGGGUGAAUUGGGCUUCUCUAAAAUUCCACAAAUGUUAAACCUAAGCAAGAGCCCAACUCCACCCAACUACUAGCAAUAAAUAAAUACUACUAGAAAAACAACAACCCUAAGUCAUUACUUCAAAUACUUACGAAACAAUUGAAUAAAGUGAAAUGCUCAAAGUAAAUGCAGAAUGUAAAGCAAGGGUAAGAAGACUCCUCCAAUUUUUUGUCGAGGUAUUGAAGAGUCGGCACUCUUCCCUAGUCCUUGUUGGAGCACCCGCGCAAGGGUAUCGCUCCCCCUUGGUCCUCGCAAGAACCAAGUGCUCUCUAUGAGAUGAUCCUUUGCCACUCCGACACGGUGGAUCACCCACGACCGCGUACAAACUUGAGCCGGGUCACCAACAAAUCCUCUAGGGUGAUCACCGUGCUCCAAUCGCCACCAAGUCGUCUAGGUGACGCCGAUCACCAAGAGUAACAAGCCAUAGACUUUCACUUGACCAAGAGAAGCCUAGUGUGUGCUCUAGGUGGCUCUCACGUGCACUGAUGAGGUCCUAACACGGGAUUAUGAUUUUCUAAUCACCUCACUAGGCUUUGUAACAAUGAAUGGACUUGAAUGUGGGCAGCAAGACUCUAAAUGUGGCUGGUGGAGGGGAUAUAAAUGGCCCCAACCACCGAACUAGUCGUUGUUGUAGCUCUCUACGCAUGGGCGCACCGGACAGUCCGGUGCGACACCGGUGCGCCAAUGGUCCACUCCAACGGCUAGUUCUAACAGUUAGUCGUUGGACUGACAGUGCACCGUACAGUCUGGUGUGACCGCUAAAAUUCAUCUUCGCAAACUCGUUGCUCUUGGGUUUCUCGAGGGCAGAGGCGCUGCCCCCAGGGCUAGCUGGUCCUACUUUCAAAGGGUGCACCGAACAGUCCGGUGCCCCUAAGAUAGCAAAACCAAAUUCUAUUCCUUAUGUUUUUCUAAACUGUUUUUGUUCUAACUUGUGAGUGCGUUAUAGAGUGACACCUAGCACUAGAUGUGAGUGUGAAUAUGCACCAACACUACACUAGAAAUCUCUUGGUCAAACUACUCAUCCACAACCCCUCUUUAUAGUACGACUAAAAUAAAAAUAGAAGACCUAAUUCUAUACCAAGUGUUCGCAACUCCUUCGACACUCAGAAUAUGACGACAUUCAUCUUUUGAUUCGCCUUUUUCAGCCGUCACUUCAAUUUCUCAUUUGAGGGAUUGUUUUCACUGUUGCAACGCAACAUCCUGUAAUGCGACCUAACUUACCGUUUGCUCUGCAAAACACACGUUAGUCACAUAUAAUAUUAUGAUGUCAUUAAUCACUAAAACCAACCAGGGGCCUAGAUGCUUUCAUGUGUGUCGACUAUAGAAGUUUGAAUGAAGAGACAAUCAAGAACAAAUAUCCCUUGCCUCGGAUUGAAGUUUUGUUUGAUCAGAUGAGAGGAGCUAAGGUAUUCUCAAAAAUAGAUCUAAGAUCAGGGUAUGAUCAGUUGAAAAUUCGGACUGAAGACGUACCUAAGACAGCCUUUACUACAAGAUAUGAAUUAUAUGAGUUUUUGGUUAUGUCAUUUGGAUUAACCAAUGCACCGACUUACUUUAUGAACUUGAUGAAUAAAGUAUUCAUGGAAUAUGUUGACCAGUUUGUGGUUGUGUUCAUCGAUGACAUACUAGUAUACUCUUAGAAUGAAGAAACACAUGAAGGUCAUCUGAGACUAGUUCUGCAAAAGCUUCGUGGCAACCAACUAUAUGCAAAAUUUUCAAUGUGUGAUUUUUGGCUUAAGAAAGUCGCUUUCCUAGGUCAUAUUGUCAUAGAUGGAGGAAUCAAGGUAGACCCUGGUAAAAUAAGUGAAAUACUAAAUUGGAAUCAACCAACAGAUGUGUCCAAGAUCAGGAGUUUUCUUGGGUUAGCAGGAUAUUAUAGAAGAUUUAUUGAAGGCUUCUCCAAAAUAGUGAAACCCCUUACUUCACUGUUGGAGAAAGGUAAAGAGUUUAAGUGGGAUGAAGCAUGUCAAAAAUGUUUUGACGAAUUAAAGGAAAAGCUAACCACUGCACCAGUGUUGAUAAUGCCUGAUAUUCACAAAGGAUUUGACGUGUAUUGCGACGCAUCACAUCUAGGACUUGGAUGUGUAUUAAUGCAAGAAGAAAAAGUAAUAGCUUUGCCUCAAGGUAGUUGCAGAAGCAUGAAAAGAAUUAUCCUAUGCAUGAUCUGGAAUUAGCUGCCGUAGUGCACACUUUGAAGAUUUGGAGACACUACAUGAUUGGAAAUAAGUGCAAAAUGUUUACGGAUCACAAAAGCUUGAAAUACAUAUUCACGCGGAAAGAACUCAACCUAAGACAAUGAAGAUGGCUUGAGUUAAUCAAGGAUUAUGAUCUAGAUAUACAGUAUCACCCAGGAAAAGCAAAUGUAGUGGCAGAUGCUUUGAGUCAUAAAGGUCAAGUUAACAAUAUUACUACCUACUUGAUGCCACAAGAAUUAUGUUGGGAAAUGGAACAACUUAACCUUGGUAUGCUUAAUAAUAUGGAAGCAACAGUUAUGGAAGUGGAAUCUACUCUAGAACAGGAGAUUCACAAAGUACAGGAAUCCGAUGAGAAAAUCAAGGAAAUUAAGACUUAGAUUAGUUUGGGUAAAGUCUCAGAUUUCACCGAAGAUGAACAAGGCAUAGUAUGGUUUAAACAGAGAAUCUGUGUACCAGAAAUUGAGCACCUACGCCAACUUAUUUUAAGAGAAGCUCGUGAUUUGGCUUAUUCUAUUCACCCUAGAAGUACUAAGGUGUACCAGGAUCUGAAGGAAAAGUAUCGGUGGUACUGUUUGAAAAGAGAUGUAGCUACUUAUGUUGCAUUAUGUGACGUAUGUCAACGAGUUAAGGUAGAACAUCAAAGACCAGUAGGUUUGCGACAACCUCUUAAAGUACCUAAAUGGAAAUGGGAAGAAAUUUGUCACACUCGGUUUUAGAAGGAAAACUGAAUGCGAACCAUGUAUGUGCCAGGAUCAGAAACUCACGUACACAACGAUUAUAUAGUUGGACAUCAUCACACAUCAGACCUGACCCUGCAGUCUUUCAGCAUAAGAAAAGAUAUAUAGAAGUCCUCAUAACACUGAGCAAAUGAGUCUCUUCACUGACUCUCAACACAGCCAAACACAACUUCUCAGAUAAAGAGGAAAGUGGAAAUAAAAGGUUGCCCAACUAUGACUAACUUUAUUAAUAACUACACCAAUUUGCAGGGGACACCCACACUUUGGUGACAAUAAUUACAAAAAGACAAAUCCAUCAUAGGUUCAUCAUGACAAACAUCGAAACAUGUGAUAAGCAAACUAACACUAAGACUGACUAAGAGACACUGACUUAAACAUUAUUACAAACCCUGAGUCUAUCGAUCUAUGGCUCCAAGUCUAUCUUGGUCUUGUAGUCAGGGGUGCCAUAAGCAUGAUGACCACGGGGCGGCGAGCGGUAAGGGUGCUGAGUCCCAACACGGGCGAGGAACCAUCCUCCUGAUGGUGGCGCUCCGCGCGCUCAGCACGCAGUUCUGCAAUCUCCGCUCGAGCCUUGCCCAACUUGUCAAGGGCGUGGUCCAGCUCGGUGUUGAGCACAGCGACCAGGUUGACCAUGCUGCUCAAUCUGGGACUGCCCUCACCAAUGGGUGAGACAAUCACACCUCUGGUACUGCCGGUCGAACGACGACAGUAGUACUUCAGGUCGAGGCUGUCAGCUACCCCGCUGAACAAUGAACAGUAUUGGGAAAGCACACGCCGUGCAGCAUACUGCAUGGCUGCCUCGGCAGUGUCCCGCUCAGUGAUAGAUUAAUGUUCUGAGAAGGCCUCCGCACCCCAGAGAUCAUCGUUCAGACGGCGCACAAAGCAAGUAGCCUCCCACUGGUCCGGGUAUAACCCACGACGAUGCUGGUAGACCACAUAAUGGUACUCGAUGGACCAAGUGUGACGGUCGAAGGCCUGACGCAGCAAGGUGUCGAGAGCGUCGUGGAAAUGGCAACCGCGAGCGGCGUCAUGAUUGAUGGGUCGGGCGAUCCAUCCUUUUGGCUCCGGCUCCUCCGAAAGCUCUGUGUUGUGGCUCGAACUGCCACCGUCGUCGUCGUCUCCGUCAGGGUCAACUCCAGCAGGUGGGGUGCCCUAUGGUGGUGCAGGGGCACCUCUAGCUGAGGCGCAGGGGAGGGCUACCUCCUAGACUCCACCUCCUGUUGAGGCGAGGGGGAAGAGUCAUGCCACUCCUGCUCCUGGCGCCGGCGCUCCUGCUCCUCAUGUAGGCGGUGAUGCAGCCUCUCUAGGUGGCUCGAUUGUCCUAUCACCGUGCGGCGCGGUGGGCGCUCUGCAAGGCGAGAUGGCAAGAAAGGGAUCAUCGACUUACGUGCAGUGCAUCUAAGACGAGCCAUUUACAAAAGACAUCGUAAGCAUAGGAGUGGGAAUAGAACUAUAUGACCAACAAGUAAACCAAAAUCAAAGUGAGAUAAAAUUUUUGUAAGAUGGGUAUGUAGAUAGAAGUAUAACAUAGAAUUGGUCAAGGUGACCAACUUUUGAAGUGACAACAAAGGCCAAUGUGAGAAUAAGGGUCUAUAGUCCUUAAGGCGACCAUUCUAGUUUAACUUAGCGGUCCUACAGUCAGCAAGGCUUAGAUACCACUUAUGUCACACCCGGUUUUAGAAGGCAAACCGAAUGUGAACCAUGUACGUGUCAGGAUCAGAAACUGACGUACACAUCGAUUACAUAGUUGGACAUCAUCACACAUUGCUCAAAAUAAUAGCGGAAAUAGUACUUUAUCACAUCAAGAUGUCCAAGACAUCCACAGAGUCAUUAACCGAACAUAGUCAUAAACGUAAUCAAAGUGCGCAAUACAAAACGUAGAGAUAAGGCCUUCAUAGGCAGCUGCUUGGGAGUUUGACACUAACACGACUAGAACUCAUCAUAGUCCCGAAACUCCUCAAAGUCCUCCAUGUUGUCUACAUCUCCUCCUGAGCCUGGUUGCAAUGGGAACAACCUGGGGUUGGGGGUUUAAAGCAAGGGUGAGUACACAUCAACGUACUCAGCAAAUGUCCCGUUUGGCUAAAGUGGACUAGAUGUAUGUGGAGUAGGGUUAAAGCAGUUGCUUUUAUUUGGUCAGAUAUUUAUUACUAGUAGUAAGCCAAGUUUUAGUAAUAAACUCAAUUAUUACCCAAAAGUACUCCCUCCAAGAGGAAAUACCAGAGAUAGAAUUAUUAUCAUCAUCAGUUACCAUCAUCAUAAGAGUAUCCAAAGUUCUUAUCAAAGAGGAUCCCAAGGCUGCUCUUAACUGUGAGCACGACUGAUAUACCGGUUUCUAACACUCUGUAGAGGUUGCACACUUUACCCAUGAGUCGUGAUCCCUUUCCAGUCUGGGUUGUACAGACCCUAUCUUCACUACCAAGGUGAAUGGCCAGGGAUACACUAUGUAGCCUUUACAAAGACUCCCCUGGUGCAUAGCUGCUCAUUAGGUUUCGCCAGUCAUACAAACACAGUACUCCUCCGUAAGGAGGGUGACAAACAAAACCAAAUCGAAUGAACCUUGGCACCCACCCUUAGCAAAGCGAGCACUAUGCCCCGACCCCCAUUGACGGCCCUCCGGCAAAGCCAACUACACCCCAAGUUCAUCUAAUUAAUCAGCUAAGGGCAUCCCAUUCCACCCUCAUGGUUGUAUUGUUAUCUCAGGUGGUCACUCAACGAACAGGUCCAUAUGGAGAGGUACUCAGAAAAACAGCAUGAGUCCCUUAAAGUGCCAUAAGAACAUCAUCAUAAUCAUAAUUGUUGGGGGCCUUCGGCUUCCGAAGGUCCUCAAAAAAUGUGAUUUAACAAUGUUUUCUAAGUAUACGAGGAGGUAUCUUCGGAAUCAGGAAUCAGGUCGCGGGUAUACAGAAGCAUGGUCAAGACGAAGCUUGACUGGGACGGCGACCAUGACGAAGGAUAAGAUGAUCAUGAAGCUAUAUGCAGAAGAGCUUCGGCAUCACGGCGGGAAGGGGAAACCGACUUAAAGAUGAAAAGCCAAACUAGACCUCGAAGAAUUACUAUAGGGUUAUUGAUAAAUGUAAAGGGCAUUAUUGUAAUUUUCCAUGGGCUGCGACCCGUGCCUAUAAAUAGGUGAACAGUAUCCCUGUACUGUUCACGCUGACUUGGCAUUCACUUUUGUGUCACGUCUGUAUUCUCUUCCUUCAAGCCGAAGGUACAUUUGUAACUUAUCUUUGUUCAAACAAGUAAUAAAAAUAGAAAUAGAUUAAUAAUAAUAUUUAUAGAAAUUGUGUCACUUUCUAUAUUUGAAUGUUCUACAUUUCUUAUCAUGAUCAUGAAGGUAUGUCCUUCAUGACCUUCGUCCUAAAUUCGUUAUGUCCGAAGGGAAAUAAUGAUUUGAAGGACGAAGGGCCUUUAAUAUUUAACAUUUUGUGUUGCAUUGUUCUUGAUUCAUAGCAUUUGAGAACAAGUCCCCAACAUUGGCGCCCACCUCCGGUGAACUCACUUCCAUUUUUUGAGUCUUGAACACUUUCGGCAAGCAUCACCUUCGUCAUGCCGCCGAAAAAAGCUUCAGCGACAGGGGCUGGUACUUUACAGCCGCUGGAUCCCAAUCAGGACGUCCUUUCUCUCAGAGAGGCCCGAAGCCAGAAGAGGAAGGCUGUUAGUCCAACACCUCCGGAGGAUGACCUGGAUCAGGAGAUCCAAAACCUGGAGAUCCUUCAGCAACAGGUGCAGCGCAAGAAGGAGAAGAUGGCUCGUCUAGCUGAUCUUCAGAGACAGAUAGACGAAGCUUCUGAAGAGGUUCGUCAUCUUGUUCAAGAUGAUCAGAGCCGAAGGCCUCCACGCAGAGAGCUACAUCAGGAAGGCUUCCACAAUGAGGACGACUGGUAUGAAGAUUUCCAUCAUGGAAACUUUGCUUUUGAUGAUGCUUCUCCUCUCUCAACAGAAUUGCAGGCUACACCAUGGCCCCAGUCUUACAAGCCACCCCAGCUUCCCAUGUAUGACGGUCAUACAGACCCGAAGCAAUUCCGGAUGAGCUAUGAAGCAACCAUAUCUUCGUAUGGUGGCAAUAUGGCAGUCAUGGCAAAAUCUUUUGUCUUGGCCGUCAAGAGUGUUGCUCAGACCUGGUACUCUUCUCUUCGGCCAGGGACAAUCACUUCUUGGCAGAAGUUGAAGGAUAUGCUGAUAACUAGCUUCCAAGGGUUUCAGACGAAGCCAGUCACUGCUCAAGCUUUAUUUCAGUGUACCCAGGACCACGAAGAGUACCUCCAAGCGUACGUCUGAAGGUUUCUACGUCUGAGGGCACAGGCGCCAACAGUGCCCAAUGAAAUUGUCAUUGAGGCCAUGAUUAAGGGGCUUCGGCCGGGACCUUCAGCGCAGUACUUUGCCAGGAAGCCACCACAAACGUUGGAGAAGCUGCUCCAAAAGAUGGACGAAUACAUUCGAGCUGACAAUGACUUCCGCCAAAGAAGGGAGGAAGCAUUCAGGUUCUCUAAAAUGACUAGGGGCUUCAGAGGAAGAUUUCACCCGAGGCACGUUAGGUCAAUUCAUAACUCUACUCAAAUUGAUGAUCGAGGGAGUCAGCAGCAAAGGCCACAAUACUCUUCACAAGCUUCGAGCCAGCAGCAAAGUUCUUUUCAGCCGCCAGCGCCAAGAGGCAGAGGCGCUAGGGGCUUCGGGGGAAGGUUUGGAGAUCAGCCAAGAAAAAUUUAUUGCAUAUUCUGUGGUGAAGAUAAGGGCCAUACCACCAGGAUGUGUCAUGUUACCAUCCAGAAGCAGAAGGAGAUAGCAGAAGCAGCUGCGCAACAAAGUCAGCCGAAGCAGUUCAUGCAUACUGCUUCGUAUCAUUCGCCUUAUAUUCCAGAAUAUGUAGGCAACCACCCCGCAGUUUCUGUCGCUUCGGCAAGCCAACCCCAAGCAUCUUGGCAGCAUCCUCCACCACCGCCGCCGACGCAGCGAUGACAGCAGCCGGAAGGGAGUCAGCACAAUCACCUUCAGAGGGAUUUCAGAGAGGAAUCCGAAGCUCGCACAGUCAACAGCACUGUGCCAGAGUCGAAGCACAUUUAUUGAUGAAUAUCCUACUUCAACAGCAGUUCUUUCGCAUUCUUAUAUUCAGUAUUACCUUUUUGUUAGUAAGGAACAAUUAUGAGGAGUUUAAGUCUCUUUUAUCGUUUUUCGAUUUCUUGUAACACUUUCGCCUAUCACCAUAAUAAAAAUAUGUCUUUUCCAUAGGCUUAUUUGCCGAAGCAUACAAAUUUAUGGUGGCAUGAAGGACAUUUAUAUUAUCAAACAUUUGUCCUAACGGACAAAGUACAAAUUCCUCGAAAUAGUAAAAAGUCGCUCCUAAGGGAGCGCAGAGUAAGUUUUCUGAAACUACAGCGAAAAAUAAGCGCUGAUUCCGCCGAAAGUAAAAGGCGAAGAAGCUCCUAAGGGAGGCUUACAGCGAAAAAUAAACGUUGAUUCCGCUGAAAGUAAAAGGCGAAGAAGCUCCUAAGGGAGGCUUACAGCGAAAAGUCAGCGCUGAGAUAAAAAGUGUGUGUGCUCUAUUACAGGGAUAUGUAUCUGCGGCAAAAAUAUCAUUUUGCAUAACAUAACAUCAUCACAUCAUUUUGCAUAACAUAAGCAUCAUACAGCAUAUUGCAUGUGGAACAAGAAGGGGAUACAGUGUUGGUCUUCGGAGAAUAUUUUGGAAAAGAGAAAAUCGUGCUAAGGCACAAGACAAAUCGAGAUGAAGUGUAGCCUCAUUGGAGAUGUCACACAAAACUUUUUUAUAGCUUCGGAGAAUAUUUCACGAAGCUUGGUCAUUUUCUUCAUGAAGCAUGAAAAGAAGGGAAGGUGUUUUUUUCGCCGAAGGCUCAAAAAAUGGUAUGUAUGCAAAAUUUCAUGCAUCGUAAAGAAUUAAACUAUAGAUUAUAUAUUAUAUUCAAGGUUACAAUAUAUUACACAUGUUACGUUCUAAAUGUUUCUACAGUAAUAUUCAAUCCUCCUUAAGCACUAUUUAUGCAGCUUCAUUCAAUAGCUGGUCGACAACCUUGUCCAUAAUGGCUUCGGCCAUUUUUCUAAUUUCAUCGUCCCCCUUCGGGUGGGGGCCCGGAGAUGCCUCAGCAGGUUCUGAGGGAAGAGAAGAUACGACUAUAUUACUAUUACAAACCGCGAACAAAGUCUGGAAUUAAAAAUUACAACAUAAUAAAAACCACUAAUUAAUACCUAUUUGCCCUUCGGGCUCUGUGCUUUUCUCCGCAGCUUCUGCUACUUUUCUGGCAUCGUGGAUGCCAUUUUCACUCUUUUGAAUAAUUUCUUGCGUCAUUUCUCGGCCGCCGUUGUCCCAGAUAUCAGUGAAGAAUUUCCCGCCGACCAUGCUUGCUUCGGGUGAGGGGUCUUUAAUGUCUUCAGAAGACAAGGUAGCUUCGGACUGCGCCAAGGAUCUUACAUGCUCGCAACCUUUCUUCUCCAAAACAGCAGCAAUCCCUCUAGCACCCGAAAAAGCGCAGAUGUCACCGCGGCUAUUCAGGAUUUCCUCGAAGGCCUCUGCUUCGUGGCUGAUCCAUUCCAUUGGACCUUCAGGAUUGCCUCUUGAGAAAUUCUCUUCACUAGAGAAUGCGCCAACGCUGGCGAAGCUGGAUUUUAUCUUCUUGACGCACUCUAUGGAUUUAACAUAGCAUUUUCUCUGGGAUGCACGAAGCUCCUUAACACUUAUCUCUAAAUGAUUGGCCAAUUGAUCACUAAGCUCCCGUUUUGUUUCUUCAAGUAUACGUUCUUCUUUAGCUCUAGCUAGCUGUUUCUGAAGAUCUUUUAUUUCACGUUUUUGGGCUUCGGCCUGGGCCUUUGAGGCAGCUUCGUCCUUUUUUACCUUGUCUACCAAUGUAAGCAGAAUUUUAUCCUUUUCCGGAGCUUCGUUUCUUAGUUUAAUAACUUCUGAUCGAAGGUUGUUGAACGCAAUUUCAUAGCUCUCGUCUUCGGCAUUCUUUUGUGCUCUCAAUGCGUUGCUUAGAAUUAAAACCUAUAUGUAAAAAGAGUUGGUAUAAGAAUAAAAGAAUGAGUCACGAAUUAUAAAAUUUCCAAACGCCCAAUUCCCAUACCUUCAGGCUAUUGUACACAAGACUAUCCGCGAGAUCCUCCUUCAUCAUAGCACAUAAUCCAGCUUCGAGCUUCGGAAACCCCAUACUUCUAGCCAUCUCCCGACAGACGGAUAAUUCUUUGUUGUCUGGGAGGCAGUAUAGGAAAUCUUCUUCGUUCGUCCCAUUGAACACUAGUGCCCCCUUCGGAUAUUUCAAUUCUUUGGCAUAGUGAUUAGCUUCAAAGACUUCUUCUUCCGAUAACUUUUUCCCCGAAGCAUGUCGCACGAUAUAAUCGUAUAUUUUGGAAGAUGCUUCGGGGGCAGCGGUAUCAAUUUCUUCGACCAAAGUUGGCUCUGACAUUUUCAUUUCUUCGGUUGCCUUUUUAAUUUUUGCUUCUUCUGCUUCCAAAGGUAUUACCUUGGUUGGUUCUGAAGGCCCGGUUUCAACUCCAGUCUGUUGCUUCGGAGCUUUAGCAACGGAUACUUCAGCAGGCGCCUCAGAAGUUUCAGCAGUCUUCUUUGGGGUUGUGCUUGGAAGUUUAAUUGUUUCCAAAACAUCCAACACAUUAACCAUUCUUUUUCUUUUUGGGGUCACUGUUGGCCCCUUUUUAAUUUUUGCUGCUUCAACUUCUUUCGAAGGACUUAAAAUUUCUGAUAUUUUCACUCCCUCAGCUGAUGCUUUCGCUUCUUCCGUCUUUGGUUCUUCCAUCUUUUCUGUCGCUGGCACUUCGGCCAUUUCUGUGACUUCUGGCAACAGGGUUGGCUCUGUAGCCUCGGUGGCCGAAGAGGUCUCACCGGUGAACUCAGGCACCGUGGCUGGUUCAAUAUAGCGUGGCCGGUGUGUAAGAACUUUUAUCCUUUUUCUCUUCGGCGCUGGCUCACUAGAAAUAGCUGCAGUUGUUUCUUUCGCAGAAGUUGUGCCUUUUCUUUUUUGCCCCCGUAUUGGAUAGCGAUAGUCGGGGUAGACAAACCCGACUGCAUCAAACACUCGGUUGAGUCUUUUCUUUUUUCGGCCUCCGAAGGCCGCUGACAAUGCAGUGUCCUCGGCCUUCGAAUAUACCCCAAGCAAUUCAUCACUUACAGUCUCAAUACUCUUUAACCAAUCAUCAUCUGGUUCAACGAACUUGUCUCCGUACUUGAAUGUAUACUUCAGCCGGACUAGCCCACCUUCGUCAGUUUCUUUAACAGUUUCUUUCGGCAUUUCCCAAUUAUCUGCAAGAGGCCACACUCUGAAGGCAAUGUGUUCUUGAGUUAAAUCCCUUGUCCCAAUAAAAGAGCAAACAACUCCGAAGGCUCUCUAGCAUUCUUCGGCUGCUUCAUUCAUUUCCACCGUCGGCCUUCGCAGGCCGAAGCGUUGCCAGAUGGGAUGCACAAUGAUCUUCUUUAUAUCCUCUCGAGAUUUCAAGUCAUUUUUCACGUAAAACCAUUCCAUCAUCUAGUCGCCAGGCCAUCUCUUUCGAAAGGUCGGCACUGGGUAGCUUGACCCAGACCGAGAGCCGAAGCUGUAGCAGCCAAAGUUGUUGUGAUAUUGUUCCUUACCCCAGGGUUUUGUCCCGUAUAACAAUUCGUGCAUGUUGCAGAAGCUUUUUGCAUCAGGUUCCAAGCCUUGGCUCCUCACAGCCCACACGAAGAUAUUCAUCCUUAUGAUUGCUUCGGGGGUAAGUUGGUGAAGAUGGAUUUCAAAUAUCUUCAGCACCUCCACAACAAAACGGCUCAGGGGAAAUCGUAGUCCAGCUUUCAAGAAGCUUCGAAAUACUACGACUUCAUUUUCCUCAGGAGUUGGGCAAGUCUUCUCUCCUUCGUCGGCCCUUACAACAGACAAAUCCCGGAAAUAUCUUCCCCUCAUGUUGACAAGAUGAUUUUCUUUAAUACUUGAUUUGCCGAAAACCGCAUGGCUUGGCCGCCAAGGUCGAUCUUCGGAGUCUUCACCACCACUAUCCGCAUCAUAACUGUCGCUAUCACCAGUAUCUUAAGAUAAACCUUCCAAUAUUUCUUUAGUGAUCUUUUCUGUAUUAGUCUUCGACAUAGAUCGAAGAAAACCCAGAUGCAUCUCUUCAGAAAGACUCAGCUUCAUUUCGGCAGCAACCUUCUUCUCCUCAGACAUCCUUUCGGAAUUUUUGCCUCUCGCUUCCGAAGCUUAAAACUAGGGAGGCAACCAAAUAUUUGUGGGCAGAAAACUAUUUGAGCAGGCAAAACAGAUGGCAAGAGAGCGUGCUAAAUAAUUUGUGGCGAGCCCCUAUUUAUACACCCAUUAUGUCGAAAACUGGAGGGUCCCGCUUGUCAAAGACUGUUGCUAUUCUAGCAAAGGGAAGGUGUUUUUUCGGACCUUCGGCUCAAAGCAUUCGUCCAUGCCGCAAUAUAAAUUUAUCAUUCCAGCAAAUUAAUAUUGCGAGGGGCUACUGUUGGAGGCCUUCGGCUUCCGAAGGUCCUCAAAAAACGUGAUUUAACAAUGUUUUCUAAGUAUACGAGGAGGUAUCUUCGGAAUCAGGAAUCAGGUCGCGGGUAUACAGAAGCAUGGUCAAGACAAAGCUUGACUGGGACGGCGACCAUGACGAAGGAUAAGAUGAUCACGAAGCUAUAUGCAGAAGAGCUUCGGCAUCACGGCGGGAAGGGGAAACCGACUUAAAGAUGAAAAGCCAAACUAGACCUCGAAGAAUUACUAUAGGGUUAUUGAUAAAUGUAAAGGGCAUUAUUGUAAUUUUCCAUGGGCUGCGACCCGUGCCUAUAAAUAGGUGAACAUUAUCCCUGUACUGUUCACGCUGACUUGGCAUUCACUUUUGUGUCACGUCUGUAUUCUCUUCCUUCAAGCCGAAGGUACAUUUGUAACUUAUCUUUGUUCAAACAAGUAAUAAAAAUAGAAAUAGAUUAAUAAUAAUAUUUAUAGAAAUUGUGUCACUUUCUAUAUUUGAAUGUUCUACAUUUCUUAUCAUGAUCAUGAAGGUAUGUCCUUCAUGACCUUCGUCCUAAAUUCGUUAUGUCCGAAGGGAAAUAAUGAUUUGAAGGACGAAGGGCCUUUAAUAUUUAACAUUUUGUGUUGCCUUGUUCUUGAUUCAUAGCAUUUGAGAACAAGUCCCCAACAAUAAUAACACCAUCGUAUCAUAAAUAUUCUCAUCAUGUUUGUUGAUUAAAGUAAAGCAAUAGCUGAAGCUUACCAUAAUAACCCAAAAGGUAAUCAAGGACAAGGUAAAUAUAGACUAGUCCAUCCUUAAGUUUCAAUUAAGUAAUGAGGGACAAUGAUUAUAAAGUAAGUAGGACAUAAUGGGUAAGAGGACACUUGCCUUCACCAGGUUGCUGCUCAGGGAAGUCUUCGGCAACACACUCAGGAACCACGGACUGCUCGUUGUCUACGCAAAGCGAUCAUGCAUUCAACACAUUUGGAUAAUGACAAAGAAACAAUACACCAAACAUGUACAAUCAAGUGAACACAAGCUCGAAAGAACAGUAAAAACACAAGAGGGAAAUCUAGGUUAUAGGGUGGGCAAUUACACCUAGAGGUUUGUGGUUCUCUAAGUACUGCUUAUCUCAAUAGAUUACAUAACUUAACUUCAUUUAUCUUAAUGAGUCACCAAAAAUUAUACCAGGGAUGGGUCAUACUUUACAUGGUAUUACUUUCACAAGGCUGAUUACCUAAUUACCAUUACGGGGCGUUUGGAUCCCUUCAUUUUAGAGGAAUUGGAAUUUACUCAAUAAAGUAACUUUCACAAGGUUGACAUUCCACCACUUUCCAAAGUUUAGAUAUAAGCAUAUAUCAAAUUCAUGGGGUGGAGAGUGGGAAAUGAUUUUAUGCAUUAGUAGAAUUUGUUUCUACUCUGUAACUUACAUGACACUCUUCAUCUCACUCCUCUAUAAUAAAAAUGUAGCACAUAAAUAUUUCUGACAUCUUGCUAAUAAUAGUAUACAAAUAUAUUUUGUAUGAAACUGAAUUAGCUUAAUUGAUAUAUGUAUAAAUUACUAUUAUUAGAACGGAAUUCAAUUCCAGUGAUCUAAACGGGGCAUUAUGGUUUUCCUUUUAAUAAAUAAACCAUCACUUAAACUAACCUAUAGUCUAGACAUAAAAUUAAUGCAUGCAGACAUUGAAAGACUGUAAUUUGAACAGAUGGAGAAUAAUCUUAUGAACGUUUUGCAAUUUGAAUCACUCAAUUUGGAGUUCAUAUGUAAGAGAUAUGAAAUAAACAAGUUUUAGAAUUCAAAAUAUAAAAUUAGGUCCAGUUCUGCGAUAAAAUAAAAGGUUAGGGGCUUUUCUGCAAAAACUCAGGGGUCUGCGCGCAGAACGUAGGGAUGGCGGGUUGAUAUGCAGAAAGCUAGGGGGUUAACAAGUUUUCCAAACAAACUGGUAUUGGCUGAUCUCGAUCACACGAUCGCAGAUCAACGGUUAGGAUUAGAUCUAAGCGAGAGCGCGCGUGGGCGAGCACUGACAAGCGGCCUAGGGGUGUCAGUGACUAGGGAGGGAGGUGGGAUGACCAGCCGGGCCUAGCGCCAGGGGGCACAGGCACUGACGGGUACGGCCCAGGGGCAGAGCGCGAACGCGGACCAAUAACCGCAAAUCCGGACCGUUAGAUCUAGGACGAACGGUUGCAAUGGGGCGCACGAGGAUUUUACAGCUCGGUGACCGGUGUUGCUCCCUCCACGGCGGCAACGUCGCCGAAGGUGAGGCAGACGCGGUCGCCGGGGGUCUGGGGUUGCCAGUGAGGGCUGGAACGGGUGAAGAAGGUCCCAUGAACUCACUAGAAGGGCUCCGGCCGCGAAAAUGGGACCAGAGACGGGAGAACGGCGGAGCAGAGGUGCUCCGGGCGGGUCGGGCAACUCCAGCGAGGAAUCCCGCCCGCGGGGAGGGGGAUUCGGGCGCGCUAAGUCCUAGCCUAGGUCCGGCGAGGUAAGGGAAACACUAUGGACCAAAACAGGGGCUCGGAACGGGGUUGAAUCAACCAGUCACCACGCAGGCGGGGUCAAAUUGGCUAAGACAAAACGGAAUUGAGAGAACCUUGCGUGGGAACGAGUUCCUCACCUCAGGAUGGUGCUCGGGACGGCUUGGCGCGGCUUAUGGCGGGCUGGACGGUCGGCAACGUGGCCACAGAUCUCCAGCGAGCACGGGUAGGGACCGCAGAGCGCGAGAGAGGGUGAGAGUGGUCGACAUGAGGCAGGGGAGAGAGAGCGGGUGCGGGUGGGGCUCAAAAAGAGCUAGGGCGCGUGGGCGAGCAACGUGGACGGUCUCCACGGCGGGUGCGUGGACGUGGGUCAACGGCGGUUGCGGGGAAGACAAGGCUCACGGCGCAGCGAGAGAGAGCGAGCGCGCGGGCGAACGGUUCACGGUGCUAACAAGGCGGGCCCACAACGCGGAGAGAGAAUAGGGGGCGCGUGGGGGAAGGUUGGAGCUGACAAGUCGGCCCCACUGGGCAGAGGGAGAGAGGGAGCGAGAGUGUGCGGGUGCGGGCUGUCGCCGACAGGUGGGACCCACUUGUCAGGUGGAGCGGGCGCGCGCGCGGCCUAGCUGGGCUGGACCUGCUGGGCUAAAUUCGUUUUUUCCUUUUUCUCUGAAUUUCCAAAUGCUUUUCUUUUUUUCUCUAGGGAAUUCAAAUCAAAUUCAAACACAAUUCAUAAUUCAAAUAAUUCAAACAUGUGCUUCAAACAAAAGAAUAAUUUAGGCUCAGCGUGAUGCAACAUUUCAUGACUCACAUAGGUUUUGAUAUAGUAAAUAAAUAAUUAAUCCCCUACAAACAAGACAUAUCUCUAAUAAAAAGAAGAGAGAAUAAAUCUAGAGAGAGAAACAAGAGAAGAAAUUUUAUACCCCCAAAUUCAGGGUGUUACAAAAUUGCUAUGAAUUUCAUAGUUGGAUUACCCCGUACUCGUGAUGGCUAGGAUUCCAUAUGGGUUAUUGUUGACAGGUUGACUAAAGUUGUACACUUUAUACCUGUAAAGACAACUUACUCGAGAGCCCAGUUAGCAGAUUUGUACAUGUCAAGGAUUGUUUGUCUGGAUGGAGUAUCGAAUAAAAUUUUAUCAAAUCGAGGAACCCAAUUUACCUCGCGCUUAUCAUCCACAAAUUGAUAGACAAAUGGAAAGAACAAAACAAGUGUUAGAAGAUAUGUUAAGAGCUUGCGCUUUAAAGCAUGGUGGAAGCUGGGAUAAGAGUUUGCCCUAUGCAGAAUUCUCUUAUAACAAUAAUGUCGGCGUUUCGACCACGGGGGUCCCUAGACCGACGAGUAAAUUGUCGAUGCGUGUCCCAGCCCAGAUGGGUCGGCGCGAGACGGAACACAAGGGGGAAAAUACUAAGGGGAAAUCGCAGGGUCGCCUCGAGUCGCGGCACCGGUUCCGCAGUCGAGAAGGCGCGGUAUUGGCGCAAGUGGCGGUGCAGUUUCUCGCACGUAGUAACCGGCGCGCCGGUUACAUGACGUGUGGUCCUGGGCCUCCAUGCUGGACGCAUCGAAGUCGAAAGGGUGCAUCCCCUUGGUGCAGUUGCAUGCCGCCUGCAUGGCGGUCCGCCCUUUCGCCCGUUGGUUUAGGCGAAGAUGGAGGAGUGCUCGUAACCGUUGGGCAGUUACGCGCUCCGCACGCGGCGGUUUGGCUUCUUCUGUCCUGGGCCAGCUUGCAUGACGCGUGGGACCCAGCUCCCAUGUCGUAGGGGGAGGACCUUGGAGCGUGUUGGUGAAGAUUCGGUCCGCGAUGGCUUGGACGCAAGUGAGGACCUUGGACGCAAGUGGGGAGAGUCGUCUUUAAAAAGGGGGUGACCCCCUUGGAUGACAGCCAUGCCUUCGCACUCCCCUUAUGCAUCGCGUCCUUCCACCUUCCGAGCCCCCGGAUGGGGAGCGCCCGCGUUGCUUUCGUCUCGCUGUCGUUGGAGGAACGCAACUUCACGGAAGUUGGUACCUUUCAGCCAUCGCUCGGCUUCAAGGAUUUUCAUCAGGCAGCCCAGCUACAUCCUCUUGCCGAUGGUCACCCAAGACGGUGACCACCAGUUUGAUGGUGGGGAGAAGCAAGCUGGGCUGCGGCCUCUGCCCCGCCCUCAGCUUCAAGGAUCUUCAUCAUCCUUGCUGGGAUGGAGGCCGGGCUGAGCCGGGGCCUGCCUUCGCGUGGGCCAGCGUCCCGCUUCUUCCUCCAGCUUCUGGGGGUGGAAACCAUCCUCCAGCUCUGCGGAGGAGGCGCCCUCCAGCCAUGUCGGGGAAGGUGAACUAUUGCUGCCCUGCCAGGGUGCAACAUUCCGUCCUUUGUCCGAGCGACGGUGGCCAGUCGCACCGGGGGGGUCUCCCAACACGUCGUACGCCACGAGGGCGGCACACAUGUUCUGGGACGGUCCCAUUCUCGUUUUUGUGGCGAGGACGGGAGUGAGGACCUGCCGGUGCGCUUUGGGGCGGCCGGCGCCCGCUGGUGCGGUGUUGGUGGGCAGGUGGACGUCACCGUCGGUGCUGAGGUGGUGGCAGCUGCAGAAAGCUUCUCCGCCGACGAGACCGUCAGUGCCACCCGCGGACCGACCUCCGGCUCUUUGGCUUUAAUAUCUGGUUCUCGUCCCUCGCGAAGGGACACAAACGAGAGCCUUCCAGCGGUAGCGUCCGUCCUGGGACCGUCGCUGCUGCUGCAGAGGUCGCUGGCGAGUCACCCGAAGUUUGUCGUCCCGCAGGCUCUCCGAUGUGGAGGUUGUUCAUACCCGCGGGAGUGGAACCGGAGUUUUGUUUGUAAUGGCACCUUGAGUGCCGGUGUCUGUUCAUUGUAGCUGUCGGGGCCUGAACAUGUGUGUAUUUGGGCGUAAAGUCGUGUUUCUUCCUCCUUUCGAGCACCAGACUCGCCUGUCGGCUAGCUGAACCGCUUAACCAAGUGUGAGUUGCCUCGUGCGGAAGGUGAUGAGUGAGGUAUCCGUAUCCCGGAGGCGUAGGAGUCCCUCGGCUCAGUCGUCCUUGCCGCCCGAGGCUUCUCUUGCUCAGUGAAGGAACCCUCGGCUGCUAUGCGAUGAGCCGAAACCGGAGGCAGCGGUGUUAGCAUGGACAGAGGCAGAGUUGGCUCGAAAAGAAGCUUUGUCGGCCGGAGCCUGGCCGGGCCGUCCACUGGCGGGACCAACGCCGGAGUCGGGUUGCCGAGGCCAUGAGCCGGGCUGAUGUCCUCAGGGGACAGCUGGCUGAGGCUACGGAGCGGCCGGUCGAGCCGUCUGCUCGGGCCGGGUUCCUGGAGGAGACCCCGGUGACGAUGGCCUAGGCGUGGUGCUGACAUCUUCCUUCGAGGUGGAGAUCCUCCGACCGUGUUGCCGUCCGAGGCCGGGUUGGAUUCCGCCGAAGGUGGAGUUGACGCCGAGGGUGCUGCUGCUCCUACUGAUGUCUGAUCCUGCAGGAACAGUUUAUAUGUAGUGUGCAUAUGUUUUUUGCGGCCGCCGAGGCCCAAACAUACCGUCGUCAUGUUGUAAAGCUAAGUUUCUUUUCCCCUUGUUUCGAGUAUCAGGACUUAUUUGUCGGUAACAAAAUUGUUUAUCCGAGCGAGAGUUACUUUUCACGGAAGGUGAUGAGUGGCCUUGCCGCUUACGUGUACUCUUACUCGUCUGUUGGAUUCUGUUAUCGAUAUAGUCCAGAAGGCAUGAAAAAUCGUUUCGGCAGAAAAGUUUUCGAGCGUUAAGACUUGUUCAGUCAGUGGAAUCGCUUAUCCGAGCGUGAGUUACUUAUCGCAGAAGGUGAUGAGUGAGGUAUCCGUAUCCCGGAGGCGUAGGAGUCCCUCGGCUCGGUCGGCCUUGCCGCUUACGUGUACUCCGUCAUUUUUAGGAUCCCACUAUCGAAGUAGUUGAAAAGCACGAAAGAUGUUCUGGCAGAAAGACUUUUUCCGAGGAAAAUUUUGACGAAGAGGGGGUUCCCCCCUUCUAGCCCCCGAGGGAGGGUAGGGCUUUGCCGAGGCAAGGCUGACCCUUCCUUGAUGGUUAGACUUUAUUUGUGUAUGUAAACGAGGUAUAUGAACGACUUGAAAACAUCUUAAGGGUAGAAGCGACGUAGCUGUCGGAUGUUCCAAGCGUUGUUGUAGACCUCGCCUUGACUGUUGGCCAGCUUGUAUGUUCCGGGCUUCAAAAUCUUGGUGAUGAUGAUCGGCCCUUCCCAGGGAGGCGUGAGCUUGUGGCGCCCUCGGGCGUCUUGCCGUAGCCGAAGCACCAAGUCCCCCACCUGGAGGUCUCGGGACCGAACCCCUCGGGCGUGGUAGCGUCACAGGGACUGCUGAUACCUUGCCGAGUGUAGUAAGGCCAUGUCUCGAGCCUCUUCCAGCUGGUCCAGUGAGUCUUCUCGGUUGGUCCGGUUGCUUCGGUCGUCGUACGCCCUCGUCCUCGGGGAACCGUAUUCUAAGUCUAUGGGCAAGAUAGCCUCGGCCCCAUAGACUAGAAAGAACGGCGUGAAGCCCGUGGCUCGGCUUGGCGUCGUCCUCAGACUCCAGAGCACCGAGGGGAGUUCCUUCAUCCAUUGCCUGCCGAAUUUGUUGAGGUCGUUGUAGAUUCGUGGAUUGAGUCCUUGCAGAAUCAUGACGUUGGCACGCUCUACCUGCCCAUUCGUCAUGGGGUGAGCUACGGCGGCCCAGUCCACCCGGAUGUGGUGGUCCUCGCAGAAGUCCAGGAACUUUCUGCCAGUGAACUGGGUGCCGUUGUCGGUGAUGAUGGAGUUCGGGACCCCGAAGCGAUGGAUGAUGUUGGUGAAGAACGCCACCGCCUAUUCGGACCGGAUGCUGUUUAGGGGUCGGACCUCAAUCCACUUGGAGAAUUUGUCGAUAGCGACCAGCAGGUGCGUGAAGCCCCCAGGUGCCUUCUGCAAGGGACCGACGAGGUCCAGACCCCACACAGCAAAUGGCCAGGUGUUGGGUAUUGUUUGCAGGGCCUGAGCGGGCAGGUGCGUCUGCCUUUCGUAGAAUUGACACCCUUGGCAGGUGCGUACAAUCCUAGUGGCGUCGGCCACCGCGGUUGGCCAGUAGAAACCCUGUCGGAAGGCGUUUCCAACUAGGGCUCAAGGCGCUGCGUGAUGACCUCAAGCCCCUGAGUGUAUUUCUUGCAAUAGUUCCUGACCUUCGGCGAUGGAUAUGCAUCGCUUGAGGAUGCCUGAGGGGCUGCGGUGGUAGAGCUCCUUUCCGUCACCCAGCAAGAUGAACGACUUGGCGCGCCGCGCCAGUCGCCGAGCUUCGGCUCUGUCGAGGGGUAGCUCUCCUCGGUGGAGAUAUUGCAGGUACGGGGUCUGCCAGUUUCGAUUAGGCAGGACCCCAUUCCGCUCUUCCUCGACGCGCAGUGCCUCACCCUCGGGGGCCGAGGGUGCCUCGGGCUGAGCCGAGGGUGCCUCGAGCUGAGCCGAGGGCGCCUCGGGCAGGGCCGAGACCUUCUCGGGCUCGGGCGUGUCGUCGGUCUUGACUGAGGGUUGAUGUAGGUCUCGGGAGAAGACGUCCGGAGGAACCGUUGUCCGCCCCGAGGCUAUUUUAGCCAGCUCGUCCGAAGUCUCGUUGUAUCGUCGGGCGACGUGGUUGAGCUCGAGCCCGUAGAACUUGUCUUCCAGGCGCCGAACCUCGUCGCAGUAUGCUUCCAUCUUCGGGUUGCGGUAGUGUGAGUUCUUCAUGACUUGGUCGAUGACAAGCUGCGAUUCGCCACGAGCGUCGAGGCGCCGAACCCCUAGCUCGAUGGCGAUGCGCAACCCGUUAACCAGAGCCUCGUACUCGGCCACGUUGUUGGACGCCGGGAAAUGGAGACGCAGCACGUAGCGGAGGUGCUUCCCGAGGGGUGAGAUGAAGAGCAGGCCCGCGCCCGCUCCUGUUUUCAUCAAUGACCCGUCGAAAAACAUGGUCCAGAGUUCCGGUUGGAUCGGAGCUGCUGGAAGCUGGGUGUCGACCCAUUCAGCAAUAAAGUCCGCCAAGACUUGGGACUUGAUGGCCUUCCGAGGAGCGAACGAGAUUGUCUCGCCCAUGAUCUCCACCGCCCACUUUGCAAUCCUUCCCGAGGCCUCUCGGCACUGGAUGAUCUCCCCCAGGGGGAAGGAUGACACCACAGUCACCGGAUGAGACUCGAAGUAGUGUCGCAACUUUCUCCACGUCAGAACUAUCGCGUACAGUAGCUUCUGAAUUUGCGGGUAGCGGAUUUUGGUCUCGGACAGUACCUCACUGAUGAAGUAGACCGACCUCUGGACGAGCAAUGCAUGCCCUUCUUCUUGUCUCUCGACUACGAUCGUGGCGCUGACCACCUGAGUGGUUGCGGCUACGUAGAUCAAGAGGGCUUCUCUCGCAGCGGGGGGCACAAAGAUGGGCGUGCUUGAAAGGAGCGCCUUUAAGUUCCCGAGGGUUUCCUCGGCCUCGGGGGUCCAAGUGAAGUGCUCGGCCUUCCUUAAGAGGUGGUACAAAGGUAGGCCUCUUUCGCCGAGGCGCGAGAUGAAGCGGCUCAGAGCCGCAAGGCAUCCCAUGACCCUCUGUACUCCUUUCAAGUCCUUGAUGGGGCCCAUGUUGGUGAUGGCCUCGAUUUUUUCCGGGUUGGCCUCGAUGCCCCGCUCGGAGACGAUGAACCCCAGGAGCAUGCCUCGGGGGACCUCGAAGACACACUUCUCGGGAUUGAGUUUUAUGCCUUUCGCCUUGAGACACUUGAAUGUCGUUUCAAGGUCAGAGAGGAGGUCGGAGGCUUUCCUCGUCUUGACUACGAUGUCAUCGACGUAAGCCUCGACUGUUCGACCAAUGUGCUCUCCGAACACGUGGUUCAUGCACCUUUGGUAUGUCGCACCCGCAUUCCUCAAAUCGAAUGGCAUAGUAAUGUAGCAGUACAUGCCAAAAGGUGUGAUGAAAGAAGUCGCGAGCUGGUCGGACUCUUUCAUCCUGAUUUGGUGAUACCCUGAGUAGGCAUCAAGGAACUACAGAGUUUCGCACCCAGCAGUGGAAUCCACAAUUUUAUCGAUGCGAGGCAAAGGGUAGGGAACCUUCGAACAUGCUUUGUUUAGACCAGUGUAGUCUACACACAUCUGCCAUUUCCCGCCUUUCUUUCUCACAAGCACAGGGUUGGCUAGCCAUUCGGGAUGGAAUACCUCUUUGAUGAACCCUGUAGCCAUCAGCUUGUGGAUCUCCUCGCCUAUGGCUCUGCGCUUUUCUUCGUCGAAUCGGCGCAGAGGCUGCUUCAUGGGUCGGGCUCCAGCUCGGAUAUCCAGCGAGUGCUCGGCGACAUCCCUCCGUAUGCCAGGCAUGUCCGAGGGACUCCACGCGAAAACCUCGGCGUUUGAGCGGAGAAAGUCGACGAGCACUGCUUCUUAUUUGGGGUCGAGCUCGGAGCCGAUCCGGACUUGCUUGGAGGCGUCGUUGCUGGGGUCGAGAGGGACGGACUUAACCGUCUCAGCUGGCUCGAAGUUGCCGGUGUGGCGCUUCACAUCUGGCACCUCCUUGGAGAGGUUCUCUAGGUCGGCGAUGAGGGCCUCGGCGUACUCCACGCACUCCACGUCGCAUUCGUACGCGUGUCGGUACGUGGAGCCGACGGUGAUGACCCCGUUGGGGCCCGGCAUCUUGAGCUUGAGGUAGGUGUAGUUGGGGACGGCCAUGAACUUGGCGUAGCAUGGUCUCCCCAACACUGCGUGGUAGGUUCCUCGGAACCCGACCACCUCGAACGUGAGGGUUUCCUUUCGGAAGUUGGAGGGGGUCCCGAAGCAGACGGGCAGAUCGAGUUGCCCAAGGGGCUGGAUGCGCUUCCCGGGGAUGAUCCCGUGAAAAGGCGCCGCGCCGGCCUGGAUCGUGGACAGAUCGAUCUGCACGAGCCCGAGGGUCUCGGCGUAGAUGAUGUUGAGGCUGCUGCCUCCGUCCAUGAGGACCUUGGUGAGCCUGACGUUGCCGAUGAUGGGAUCGACAAUGAGCGGGUACUUUCCCGGGCUCGGCACGCGGUCGGGGUGGUCGCCUUGGUCGAAGGUGAUGGGCUUGUCGGACCAGUCUAGGUAGACUGGCGCCGCCACCUUCACCGAGCAGACCUCCCGGCGCUCUUGCUUGCGGUGCCGAGCCGAGGCGUUCGCCACUUGCCCACCGUAGAUCAUGAAGCAGUCAUGGACCUCGGGGAACUCUUCUGCCUUGUGGCCCUCCUUCUUAUCAUUGUCGUGGGCUCUGCCACCUUCCGCCGGUGGCCCGACCUUGUGGAAGUAGCGCCGAAGCAUGACACACUCCUCAAGGGUGUGCUUGACGGGACCCUGAUGAUAGGGGCACGACUCCUUGAGCAUCUUGUCGAACAGGUUGGCGCCUCCAGGAGGCUUCCGAGGGUUCCUGUGCUCGGCGGCGGCGACAAGGUCUGUGUCGGCGGCGUCCCGUUUCGCUUGUGACUUCUUCUUGCCCUUCUUCUUGGUGCCGCGCUGAGCGGACGCCUCGGGGACGUCUUCCGGCUGAUGCCCCUGAGGCUGCUUGUCCUUCCGGAAGAUGGCCUCGACCGCCUCCUGACCAGAGGCGAACUUGGUGGCGAUGUCCAUCAGCUCGCUCGCCCUGGUGGGAGUCUUGCGACCCAGCUUUCUCACCAAGUCGCGGCAAGUGGUACCAGCGAGGAACGCGCCGAUGACAUCCGAGUCGGUGAUGUUGGGCAGCUCGGUGCGCUGCUUCGAAAAUCGCGGAUGUAGUCCCUCAGGGAUUCUCCCGGCUGCUGGCGGCAGCUUCGGAGAUCCCAGGAGUUCCCAGGGCGCACAUAUGUGCCCUGGAAGUUACCGGCGAAGGCUUUGACCAGGUCGUCCCAGUUGGAGAUAUGCGCAGGUGGCAGAUGCUCCAGCCAGGCUCGGGCGGUGUCGGAGAGGAACAGGGAGAGGUUGCGGAUGAUGAGGUUGCCAUCGUCCAUUCCACCCAGCUGGUAGGCCAGCCGGUAGUCCGCGAGCCAUAGUUCCGGCCUUGUCUCCCCCGAGUACUUGGUGAUGGUAGUCGGGGUUCGGAACUGGGUCGGGAACGGCGCCCGUCGUAUGGCCCGGCUGAAAGCUUGCGGACCGGGUGGUUCGGGCGAGGGGCUCCGAUCCUCCCCGUUGUCGUAGCGUCCCCCACGCCUGGGGUGGUAGCCUCGGCGCACCUUCCCGUCGAGGUGGGCUCGACGGUCGCGGCGGUGGUGCUCGUUGCCGAGGCGACCCGGGGCCGCAGGUGCCGUGUUCUGCGUGCGCCCGGUGUGGACCGAGGCUUCCCAUAUGAAUCGGGAAGUCGUGGCGCGAUGCUCCAGGGGGUACCCUUGCCUUCGGGAGGCAGAGCUUUCGGCCCGUCGGACUGCGGCAUCCUCCAGGAGAUUCUUGAGCUCUCCCUGGAUACGUCGCCCCUCGGUGGUGGAUGGUUCCGGCAUCGCUCGGAGUAGUAUUGCUGCUGCGGCCAGGUUCUAGCCAACCCCACUAGAAGCCGGGGGCAGCCUUGCCCUUGCAUCGUUGGCGAUGCGGUGCUGGACAUCCUGGGCCAGAUGACGCGCUUCUCCGACCGGUGCUCGGCCUGCCCACUCCUGCCCGAUAUUCUGCCGGAGCUGCACAAGUUGUCCUGCUUCCUCGUCGAGCCUGGCCUGCAUCUCGCGGAUUUGCUCGAGCUGUGCGUCCUGACCCCCCGCAGGGACUGGGACCACAGCUAGCUCCCGAAGGAUGUCAACGCGAGGCGCAGGCCUAGGGGGAUCGCCGUCCUCCGGCAUACCAAGGUGGUUGCCUUCGUCGAGACCCCCUAGAUCGACGUGGAAACAUUCGCGACUUGGGCCACAGUCCUCGUCGCCGAGGCUGUGGCUACUAUCGGAGCAAUCGGAGAGGCAGUAGUCACAUGCGGUCAUGAAGUCCCGCAUGGCACUGGGGUCACCGAGCCCAGAGAAAUCCCAACCAGAAUCGGGCUCGUCAUCUUCCUCAGAACCCGGGGGCCCGUAGGUCGAGACGGCUGUCAGUCGGUCCCAGGUUGACCACAUAUGAUACCCCGGAAGGCUCGGAUAUGCCUUUAUGAAAGCAUCCACCGAAGCGGGGUCGUUUGGUGGGUCGAAGCUGAAUCUAAAAGGCACAGGAUGGGAAACGGACGGUACCUCCUGAUCGAUGGAUGGUGACGAAGUCGCGUCGGGGACGGACUGCACCGUUAUCUCAGGUACGAGGCUAACGUUCAACAAGUCCUUCGCGAGCGUGCUGGCGUCGUCCGUCUGCUUGGGGUUGGCGUGUUGCGGGGAAACGACACUCGUCUUCGUCUCAGACGUGAGGUCAACGCCCGACGUGUCCCCCGCUGGGGCGCCGGUGCCAUCGACUCGCUCGACAGCCGACGAGGUGCCGCCUCUGCUUGGCCAUGGUUGCCCCGCCUCCUCCUCCAUCGGCGGGGAAGGUGACGGGACAAACCCGGAUGUUGCUCUUCCGCCACGUGGGGAAGACGUCGUUGAUUCCACUGCCGGCGGGCGGGCUGACGGCCGCCAUUGUCGUUGUCGCGCGGCGGAGGAAGGAGUAUCAUGUCGUAGCUACCGUCGAGGGACAUGAACUCGAGACUCCUGAAACGGAGCAUCGUCCCAGGUUGGAGAGAUUGAUGGAGACUACCCAUCUGGAGCUUGACGGGAAGCUGUUCGUCAACACACAGCAGGCCCCUACCUGGCGCGCCAACUGUCGGUGUUUCGACCCCGGGGGGUCCCUGGACCGACGAGUAAAUUGUCUUUGCGUGUCCCAGCCCAGAUGGGUCAGCGUGAGACGGAACACAAGGGGGAAAACAGUAAGGGGAAAUCGCGGCCUCGUGUUGUCCUGCGCCCAGGGAGGAUGCGCUUGCAGUAGGGGGUUACAAGUGUUCGCGAGGGAGAGAGAGAGGGCGAGAGCCUUGUGCGUUGGCCCGUCUUACCGCGCGGCCACCUUCUCGUACGAGGGCCCUGGACCUUCCUUUUAUAGAUGUAAGGAGAAGGCCCAGGUGUACAAUGGGGGGUGUAGCAAUGUGCUAACGUGUCUAGCAGAGGGAAGCCAGAGUCCUAUGUACAGGCCGACGUGGCUGUCGGAGAGGUUUUGGCGCCCUAUUCAUGUGAUGUCGUGGCCGUCGGAGGAGUGCUUGAGCCCUGUAGGAACACAGCUGUCGGAGCUGUCGGGUCCUUGCUGAUGUCUCCUUGCUUCCGUAGGGGGCUGAGAACCAUCGUCGUCAUGGAGCAUGCGGGGUGCCAUCAUUACUUGUUUUACCGGGACGAGCCAGAUGGGACGCCGGUCUUGUUCCCCGUAGCCUGAGCUAGCUAGGGUUAGGGUAAUGAUGUGCCCCCCUGCGACGUGGUCGGUCCGAGCCCAAGGUCGGGCGAGGCGGAGGCUCCACCGAGGACGAGGCUGAGUCCGAGCCCUGGGGUCGGGCGAGGCGGAGACCGUCGUCCGAGGUUGAGUCCGAGCCCUGGGGUCGGGCGAGGCGGAGUCCGUCGUCCGAGGUCGAGGUUGAGUCUGAGCCCUGGGGUCGGGCGAGGCGGAACUUCCUAUGGCGCCUGAGGCCGGACUUGGCGGCUGUCAGCCUCACCCUGACGGGUGGCACAGCAGCCGGAGUAGCGCAGACGGUGCUGUUUUCCAGUCAGGUCAGCCAGUGGAGGGGCGAAGUGACUGCGGUCACUUCGGCUCUGUCGACUGAGGAGCGCGCGUCAAGAUAAGGUGUCAGGCGAUCCUUGCAUUGAAUGCUCCUGCGAUCCGGUCGGUUGGCGUGGCGAUCUGGCCAAGGCUGCUUCUCCGCGAAGCCUGCCCGAGCUGGGCCUCGGGCGAGUCGAAGGUGCGCCCGUUGCUUGAGGGGACCCUCGGGCGAGACGUGAAUCCUCCUGGGUCAGUUGUCUUCGCCCGAGGCUGGGCUCGGGCGAGGCGAGAUCGUGUCCCUUGAGUGUACGGAGCCUUGACCUGAAUUGCGCCCAUCAGGCCUUUGUAGCUUUGUGCUGAUGGGGGUUACCAGCUGAGAUUAGGAGUCUUGGGGGUACCCCUAAUUAUGGUCCCCGACAAAUAGUUACUAAGCAAGUCUAAAGAUGGCACCGUUUGAAGUACUCUAUGGAUGGAAAUGCAGAACACCACUUUAUUGGAAUCAAACUGGAGAAAAUCAAAUAUUUGGUCUAGAAAUUCUCCAAAAAGCAGAGAAGCACGUGCAAAUUGUCAGAGAGAAUUUAAAACAGCACAAUCAAGGCAGAAGAGCUAUGCUGACAAUAGAAGAAGAGAAUUAACCUUUGAAGUUGGAGACUUCGUAUAUCUUAAAGUUUCACCAAUGAGAGGAAUGAGAAGAUUUAAGGUUAAAGGUAAAUUAUCUCCCGGUUAUAUCGGCCCAUUCAAAAUUUUGGAAAGAAAAGGAGUAGCAUAUCAGUUGGAGCUACCCGACAAUUUAUCGGGCGUGCAUGACGUAUUUCAUGUAUCGCAACUUAAGAAAUGAUUAAGAGUAUCGGAGGAACAAUUACCUAUGGAAGAACUCAACGUUAAUGAGGAUUUAACUUAUUUGGAGUAUCCUAUCAAAAUUUUGGAAACAUCUCGCACAAUUGCUCGAAGUAAAGUUAUCAACAUGUGCAAACUUCAAUGGAGUCAUCAUUCGGAAGAUGAGGCCAUGUCACACCCGGGUUUUAGGGGCACCAAGACCCGGGCGCGAACAUAAUCACCAGAUGUGCUGGGACCAAGUCUCACACAUAUGAUGAAUCAUGGCACAGGAUCGAAUGUCACAUCUUUACUAUAUAAUAGGAGUUCUGUACAAAAUAAAUAAAUAAUUACAUUAUAAGGAGACAACGGUCCAGCAACCCAAAGUUGACUGGGAGACGACGGCCUAGAUCUCUCACGAACACAUCACAACAUCCUCCAAGCGCCUCAUCCUGUGGUACCUGUUCUUGACCUGUGGGGGGUGAGACAGCAAGAGUGAGCUCACAUACGUUCAUAGCUCAACAAGUUGUGGGGAAUAAUGUGCAUGAACUCGCUAAAGGUGGGAGCUCAUAAAGUGUAAGGCUUACCAAAGAGGAUGGUUGAAGCUGAGCAUUGCUUUUAGAGUUGGUCAAAAUUUUAUUAGCAAUUACUAAGUAUAAGUAAAUAUCAACCCAAUUAAGUAGUAGAACAAAAGUAACAACCUCACCUGCGAUGCAAUGCAUAUGACAAAUUGAAUUUAGUUCCAUAAUUUAAUCAUGUGAGUGUCCGAGCCGCUCAUGACCGUGAGCACGGCUAGUAUACCAGUUUUACACUCUGCAGAGGUUGCGCAUCUUUACCCACAAGUCAUGUUACUCAUCUGCCAAGAGACGGCCAAUCCCAUACACCUCUACCGAGGAGGCGAGGUAGGGUAACACUACGAGGCCUUUACAAAGUUCCACUAGCUUCAGAAAACCCGCUACAGUUUAUAGGAAGCUCCAGUGCAGGAGUCCCUCGACUGACCGCCAUCGCAGCAAAAUCAACCAAGGACCUCCCUACACUGACCACUCCCCUACUGCCCUUGCCCCUUUCGGGUAAGGUAAUCAUCCACUAGCUUUCCUAGUUAAUCAGCCAAGGGCAUCCAUAAACCCUUGUGGUAGCACUGUUUUCCCGGGUGGUUCUCCAUGUUCCAAUUAACAUAAUGAUCUUAACAUGAACAAUAAAUAACAACUGAUAACAAAAGUAUAAUCAUGAAUAGUGUAAUCUUCAUACCCAAAACCACAUAAAGCAAUAGCAGGUACUACCCAAAAAAUGUAGUGGUAAUCAAGGCAUAAAGAUAGUCAAACUGGGGUAACCUAUUGGGUCCCAUCAAAAUUAACCUAUGCAGAUCAUUAUGAUUAAUUAGAACAUGACUGGGUAAAAGAAGUGAUCAAGGGCACAACUUGCCUGGGACUUGAGAUUCCAGGUACCAACUUGCUCUUCAGAUGACACGUGACCUCGCUCUAGUCGUAGCAAUACAAACAAACAUUGUAUAGGCAAAAAUUAACAUUACACCAAACAUAAGAAUAAACUGCGUAAUAAUAAUCUACGUGUCGCUACGAGAUCGUAGGAGCGAGAAUCACUAAAUUCGGAGCUACGUUUAAGAAGUUAUGGUUUUCCGAAGUCUUUAUGUUCUUGGUAAAAAAAAUUAAUUGAGUGAUCAAUUCUAAUGUGGCUUCCAUGUUAAAACAGAGUUACUAGGUGAUAAACAAUAUUAUUAUAAAAUUAAUGCAAUUGGAAUGGGUCAAAAAUGAGUUAAAAUGAAUUAGUUAUGAAUUAACCAAGUUUAUGUAAUUGUUUUCAUUCUAGAAAUCAUUUUCUAUUUUACAUCUUGUACUCCUCCAGCGAUUAUGGACCGUGGACAUAAAAAUCCGAGAGCACAGGGGUCGUUCUAAAAAUAUUAGGACUUAAGCUUAAUACGUUAACACUACCUCUGGUCUGCGGGUUAAUUCGUACAAUCUACAGGGGCUCUUAGCAAAAUGGCAACGGCGAAGAGGUACCGGGGAUCCAGAGCCGUUCGAUCAUAAGCUGAGGGCCUAGAUUAGAUGUACUACCCCAGUGAACCGGUACGUGAUGUGAGUCAUUGGAUCCUCAUCACGCGGCUACAUUUAAUUGGAGCGAAGGGGGAUACGGUGAUCAAAUCCCACACGUCGGAUUCAAAUCGGGCAAACGACAUUAUCCAAGGCCGAACCGCAACAUGAGAUUUGAUCCCAACCGUCCACAUCCGAACGAACGGCCAGGAGAUCGCCUCCGACCUUCAGUAGCCAAGCUCGGUCGCGCACACCACGCCCGCGGCGGCGCCAUUGCCGGCAAGCCACCACCCCACGCCCCAGUGCUCCAAACUACAACCGAGCGCGUGCAACACGUAGAGGAGGUCAAGGCGAAGUCAAGAUGAGGAAAUUUUACUAGAGAAAACGGUGGGCACAAGGCUGUCCGCGGACCAGGCGGAUUUGCGACGGAGAUGAGUGCUCCGGUGAGAAAUCGCCCAACUGCCCGGGCCUCCCGCGCUCAGCAGUGACCCAAGAACGAACCACGCGCAAACGCGAUGCUCCCCGACCACUUGCACACUCAGAUUGAUGACGACCACGAGGAAAUCGCACUGCGGCAGGAUCCGCGGCAAUGGUGGCUCACGGCCAAAUCUUUUUGAGGUGAGCACGGGAUUGAUACCGGGAGAUCCCCACGAAGGGCGCCUUAUAUAGGGGCGAGAGCCGCAGCCAGCCGCCAACCUACUGGCGAGGAUCGCGGCGGAGUCCACGACGGCGCAGAGAAGAUGCGCGCGAUUUAGUUGGGGAUGAACGGACUGCAUAGGGGACCCACGCGCCGGUGACCCAGAAACGCGAGAAGAAUCGGUCAUCUGACCAUCGCCUGGGCCCCACCCGGCAGUGUUACCGCGGUGCAGAUGCGAGAGGUGAGGCCGCCCUGUGGGCCCCACCAGCCAGCGAGCCAGAGGCACGCACGCGCGCAAAUAGGGGACCUGGGCUGCGCGGUGGGGAAGUUGGGGAAAAUGGGCCGAGGGCGUAGGAAUUUGGCCCAUGCAGGUUUGUUUCUUUUUUUCUAUUUUCAAUUUCUUUUAAAUUUUCAAAUCUCUAUUCCAAAUUCAAAUUUAUUCAAAUUUAAACUUCAACUUUCUAAGUACCAAAAUUAAUCCUAAUAUAAACUUUACUGUUUACAAUAUUAUUAUUAUUAUUAUUAUUGAUUCUUUUCCUUAUUAUUUAUUCAUGGGAGAAACAAAUGACUUCAUUAAAAUUCUUUUUUUUCAAUUUCUAUUUUACGUUUUCAUUUAAAAUUCUAAGGUCAAAUCCAAGUUAUGUCUUUAAUAAAAUGUCUUAGCCAAAGUGAUAAGCAAGGGAUGCAUUUUCUUUUGUUUUUAUUUGAUGGUUGCUUAACUUAAUAUCAUUAAUUGAUUAUAAAUGGGAAGGAUCUUAAUAAAUUCUCAAGGGUUUUUGGAAAUUCUAGAAAUACUACCCUAGAUAUUCUUAUUUAUUUAUUUUAUUAUUUUAUGAUAUAUAAAUUUUUUUCUUCUACUAAUUUUAGGUCUUACAAAUCCUACCCCCUUAACAGAAAUCUCGUCCUCGAGAUUUGUAGGAAAGGGUGUAUACUCAUAUUAUCUCAACACAUAUACGCAAACAAAAUCUCAGCAUGAUGCAUACUUCAUUAGCAAGACAUGGGGUCGAUUAGACCUUAUUGUUCCUUCUAAAAUAAUAUCAUAUCAUCUACUAACUAAAGUAACAUCUAGAUCUUACAAAUAGUAGUAAUUUAUAUAUAUGUUUAUGUAGCUUGGUGGAGCUGGUGGUGGUGGUGGAGGUUAUUGUUGUCAUUGUCUCUCCAACCGCGCUUGCCUUAUUUCUUGGCGUAUCUCCAAACGGACCUGACGUAUUUCCUCGCGUUCUUGUCUUAUCUGAUUUUGCAUCUCGGUCACCAGGUCUGUCAAUUGUUGUAUUACCAGUCUUUGGGCAGCAACCACUUGAUCGAUUUCAACAGGUGGAUGAUUUGGAGGAUUCAUUUCUGUUUGCUGUUGCGUGAUAAUCUUUCCUUUCCUGGUAUUGACCAUGAAAGUUAGAAGCAUAUGGGAAUAUAGUUGUUUUUUUUGCAAGGAAAAUUAUUUGGUAGGCAAACGAACCGGCCAAUAACUGGUUAUGUUCUGAGGGUUCUUUGGCACGGCUUAAUCUUUAUUUUAUACCAAGCUUGGGAUAACUAGUCGUAUAAGGUGAAUAUCCAAGGUAGGAUAGAAUUUUGUUAAGAUGAGAUUAUCUACAUGGUGUAGGUUAAAAGUUUGUUUGAUGUUAAGUGGGGACAUAUAGAUUAUACCUUUCAUCAUGACUCUAUGGGUUGGAUUAGCUCAUGGUUGAGUUGAUCCAAUGUGCUAAGUUAAGUUAAUACAUGGCUAGUAGGGUCUAAUUUCUUCUACUAGUGUCAUUAAUCUGUUUAAGUGGACCACAUUAGGUUAGAUUACAUUAGACCACACUAGAUCUGAUCACAUUAGGUAAGAUAAGAUCUAGAUUAGAUUGGAUAUGACUAGAUUAGACUAGUUUAGGUUAGAUAGGUCUAACAGGGUAGAAUAUGUAUUAUUAAGAUAUGUUAGAUUCUUUUGAGAUUAGUUAGAUAUGUUAUGAUAAGAUAGAAUCUCUUCAAGAUAAGAUGAAUUUAUUAAGGUAAGAAGAAUCUUUUAAGAUGAGGUGGAUCUAGUAAGAUAAGAGAGAAUAUUAUAAGAUACGAUGAAUCUAUUAAGAUAUGGGAGAGUCUUUUAAGAUAAGAGGGAUCUCUAUGAGAUAGAUACAUUUUAAUGGAGGAUAAUCUAAGUUGUUUAGUUAUCUUAUGAAUUCUAUUUAUACCUAUACGUAUAUGCAGAUGUAAUGGUGGACAUUACUCCACAACCCAUCACACUCAAUCAAAGAUCCAAAUCAGACAAGUAUCAUAAGAACAAACACUCAAGCAUACCAAUAUCUACAAAAAUAGUUUUGCUUUUGUUCCUAAGAUUAGGUCUCCUAUUCCUAAAUGUCACUUUAGGUACGGGAUUUCAAAGUGUGAAAUCCACAUUUGUCUUUAGAAAUAAAAGGUAAGAAUAGUCAGAGUAAAGCGGAAAUAGAUGAGAUAUGAUUAAGAUAAGUUUAGAAAAGAAUCAGAGUAGCAAAGGCAAGGUUAAUCGGAGUAGAAUAGUAGAAGAUGAGAUAGGAUCAAGAAAAGUAUAGAAAGAAUCAGAGUAAGGUAAGUAGGUAAGGAUUUGUCCAUUUCUAUCUAGGUUUCGUCCCACAGUCAACAUUCCUCUGAUACCACUUCUGUCACACCCGGGUUUUAGGGGCACCAAGACCCGGGCGCGAACAUAAUCACCAGGUGUGCUGGGACCAAGUCUCACACAUAUGAUGAAUCAUGGCACAGGAUCGAAUGUCACAUCUUUACUAUAUAAUAGGAGUUCUGUACAAAAUAAAUAAAUAAUUACAUUAUAAGGAGACAACGGUCCAGCAACCCAAAGUUGACUGGGAGACGACGGCCUAGAUCUCUCACGAACAAAUCACAGCAUCCUCCAAGCGCCUCAUCAUGUGGUACCUGUUCUUGACCUGUGGGGGGUGUGAGACAGCAAGAGUGAGCUCACAUACGUUCAUAGCUCAACAAGUUGUGGGGAAUAAUGUGCAUGAACUCGCUAAAGGUGGGAGCUCAUAAAGUGUAAGGCUUACCAAAGAGGAUGGUUGAAGCUGAGCAUUGCUUUUAGAGUUGGUCAAAAUUUUAUUAGCAAUUACUAAGUAUAAGUAAAUAUCAACCCAAUUAAGUAGUAGAACAAAAGUAACAACCUCACCUGCGAUGCAAUGCAUAUGACAAAUUGAAUUUAGUUCCAUAAUUUAAUCAUGUGAGUGUCCGAGCCGCUCAUGACCAUGAGCACGGCUAGUAUACCAGUUUUACACUCUGCAGAGGUUGCGCAUCUUUACCCACAAGUUAUGUUACCCAUCUGCCAAGAGACGGCCAAUCCCAUACACCUCUACCGAGGAGGCGAGGCAGGGUAACACUACGAGGCCUUUACAAAGUUCCACUAGCUUUAGAAAACCCGCUACAGUUUAUAGGAAGCUCUAGUGCAGGAGUCCCUCGACUGACCGCCAUCACAGCAAAAUCAACCAAGGACCUCCCUACACUGACCACUCCCCUACUGCCCUUGCCCCUUUCGGGUAAGGUAAUCAUCCACUAGCUUUCCUAGUUAAUCAGCCAAGGGCGUCCAUAAACCCUUGUGGUAGCACUGUUUUCCCGGGUGGUUCUCCAUGUUCCAAUUAACAUAAUGAUCUUAACAUGAACAAUAAAUAACAACUGAUAACAAAAGUAUAAUCAUGAAUAGUGUAAUCUUCAUACCCAAAACCACAUAAAGCAAUAGCAGGUACUACCCAAAAAAUGUAGUGGUAAUCAAGGUAUAAAGAUAGUCAAACUGGGGUAACCUAUUGGGUCCCAUCAAAAUUAACCUAUGCAGAUCAUUAUGAUUAAUCAGAACAUGACUGGGUAAAAGAAGUGAUCAAGGGCACAACUUGCCUGGGACUUGAGAUUCCAGGUACCAACUUGCUCUUCAGAUGACACGUGACCUCGCUCUAGUCGUAGCAAUACAAACAAACAUUGUAUAGGCAAAAAUUAACAUUACACCAAACAUAAGAAUAAACUGCGUAAUAAUAAUCUACGUGUCGCUACAAGAUCGUAGGAGCAAGAAUCACUAAAUUCGGAGCUACGUUUAAGAAGUUAUGGUUUUUCGAAGUCUUUAUGUUCUUGGUAAAAAAAAUUAAUUGAGUGAUCAAUUCUAAUGUGGCUUCCAUGUUAAAACAAAGUUACUAGGUGAUAAACAAUAUUAUUAUAAAAUUAAUGCAAUUGGAAUGGGUCAAAAAUGAGUUAAAAUGAAUUAGUUAUGAAUUAACCAAGUUUAUGUAAUUGUUUUCAUUCUAGAAAUCAUUUUCUAUUUUACAUCUUGUACUCCUCCAGCGAUUAUGGACUGUGGACAUAAAAAUCCGAGAGCACAGGGGUCGUUCUAAAAAUAUUAGGACUUAAGCUUAAUACGUUAACACUACCUCUGGUCUGCGGGUUAAUUCGUACAAUCUACAGGGGCUCUUAGCAAAAUGGCAACGGCGAAGAGGUACCGGGGAUCCAGAGCCGUUCGAUCAUAAGCUGAGGGCCUAGAUUAGAUGUACUACCCCAGUGAACCGGUACGUGAUGUGAGUCAUUGGAUCCUCAUCACGCGGCUACAUUUAAUUGGAGCGAAGGGGGAUACGGUGAUCAAAUCCCACACGUCGGAUUCAAAUCGGGCAAACGACAUUAUCCAAGGCCGAACCGCAACAUGAGAUUUGAUCCCAACCGUCCACAUCCGAACGAACGGCCAGGAGAUCGCCUCCGACCUUCAGCAGCCAAGCUCGGUCGCGCACACCACGCCCGCGGCGGCGCCAUUGCCGGCAAGCCACCACCCCACGCCCCAGUGCUCCAAACUACAACCGAGCGCGUGCAACACGUAGAGGAGGUCAAGGCGAAGUCAAGAUGAGGAAAUUUUACCAGAGAAAACGGUGGGCACAAGGCUGUCCGCGGACCAGGCGGAUUUGCGAUGGAGAUGAGUGCUCCGGUGAGAAAUCGCCCAACUGUUCGGGCCUCCCGCGCUCAGCUGUGACCCAAGAACGAACCACGCGCAAACGCGAUGCUCCCCGACCACUUGCACACUCCGAUUGAUGACGACCACGAGGAAAUCGCACUGCGGCAGGAUCCACGGCAAUGGUGGGUCACGGCCAAAUCUUUUUGAGGUGAGCACGGGAUUGAUACCAGGAGAUCCCCACGAAGGGCGCCUUAUAUAGGGGCGAGAGCCACAGCUAGCCGCCAACCUACUGGCGAGGAUCGCGGCGGAGUCCACGGCGGCGCAGAGAAGAUGCGCGCAAUUUAGUUGGGGAUGAACGGACUGAAGAGGGGACCCACGCGCCGGUGACCCAGAAACGCGAGAAGAAUCGGUCAUCUGACCGUCGCCUGGGCCCCACCCGGCAGUGUUACCGCGGUGCAGAUGCGAGAGGUGAGGCCGCCCUGUGGGCCCCACCGGCCAGCGAGCCAGAGGCACGCGCGCGCGCGAAUAGGGGACCUGGGCUGCGCGGUGGGGAAGUUGGGGAAAAUGGGCCGAGGGCGUAGGGAUUUGGCCCAUGCAGGUUUGUUUCUUUUUUUCUAUUUUCAAUUUCUUUUAAAUUUUCAAAUCUCUAUUCCAAAUUCAAAUUUAAACUUCAACUUUCUAAGUGCCAAAAUUAAUCCUAAUAUAAACUUUACUGUUUACAAUAUUAUUAUUAUUAUUGAUUCUUUUCCUUAUUAUUUAUUCAUGGGAGAAACAAAUGACUUCAUUAAAAUUCCUUUUUUCAAUUUCUAUUUUACGUUUUCAUUUAAAAUUCUAAGGUCAAAUCCAAGUUAUGUCUUCAAUAAAAUGUAUUAGCCAAAGUUAUAAGCAAGGGAUGCAUUUUGUUUUUUUUAUUUGAUGGUUGCUUAACUUAAUAUCAUUAAUUGAUUAUAAAUGGGAAGGAUCUUAAUAAAUUCUCAAGGGUUUUUGGAAAUUCUAGAAAUACUACCCUAGAUAUUCUUAUUUAUUUAUUUUAUUAUUUUAUGAUAUAUAAAUUUUUUUCUUCUACUAUUUUUAGGUCUUACAGGCCACAAGGGAAAGAGAAGAUGAACUCAGAGCAGAAUUCCCCUAAUUUUUUCAGAAGUUCCUUAAUCUCGAGGACGAGAUUCUUUUUAUGGAGUAGGUUUGUGACACCUCAAAACCGUCAAAUAAAAAUAAUGUAUUUAAAUUAUUAAGUAGUGAGUAUAGUAAAGAGUUUUUCUUUCAAGUGUUUGAUCUUACUUACCUUUAGAAUAAUUUUUGUCUGUUCAUGUUUGAUUGAUGCUUGUUUUUAUAAAAUUUCUUUUAUAUUGAAAACCUAAUUAAUCAAUAUGGGAACUUUGUCAAA
rnacentral:lncRNA from 1 species